rnacentral:lncRNA from 1 species
UUAAAUUGCGCAGAAAAAAAAUACAUCUACAAACUAUACGUGUUUUUCUCACUGUUCAUGAUAUUUUGAAUAAAAACUUGCUUUUGACAUCCUUAUAUUUUAUCACUUAAAAUUUGCAUCCUCAACCCUCUUAGCUAUCCUCCCUUGUAACAUCAAGAAACUGAAUUCAGCUAGCAUGUAUUAAGUAUGACAUCAAAGUUUAAGAUGCACAUAUAAAUUGUAAUUGGAGUCUUGAGUGUCACAUGUCAAACACCUAGCCUUUAACAUUUAAAGAGUUCAGUAGACUUGGAGACCUGUAUCGGUCUACUAGACACAAGUAGGGCACUAUCUCAUAAUUUUCUGCCUAUCCUCAGGGUGCAUAACAAGAUUUUAAAAGGAUAUUAUUAAGUCUCUUAUGAAAAAAUGAAACGUAUGAUCUACCAAAUCUUCAAGCGCCUAUUAUUUGACAAAGUCCUCAAUUCAGAGGAGGAGGAACUUCCAGCUAGAUUUUUAGCAUGGUGUUUUAAGUUUCUUGGCACUAUGAAUUAAGUUAGAUGUUCAAUGUUUAUAAUCUUUAACAAAGUUGAAUGACUUGAAUCUAUCAUUUGUUACAUUGGAACCAACAUAAUCAAUGAAAUGUCAUAUAUGAUGAGUAGUUCUAAAUGUUUAAUUAGUUAGUAUAUAAAUCCUAUAUUACAAAAUCUUAUCAUGCUUGUUUGUGUCCUGUAGCUUUCAAANNNNNNNNNNNNNNNNNNNNNNNNNNNNNNNNNNNNNNNNNNNNNNNNNNNNNNNNNNNNNNNNNNNNNNNNNNNNNNNNNNNNNNNNNNNNNNNNNNNNNNNNNNNNNNNNNNNNNNNNNNNNNNNNNNNNNNNNNNNNNNNNNNNNNNNNNNNNNNNNNNNNNNNNNNNNNNNNNNNNNNNNNNNNNNNNNNNNNNNNNNNNNNNNNNNNNNNNNNNNNNNNNNNNNNNNNNNNNNNNNNNNNNNNNNNNNNNNNNNNNNNNNNNNNNNNNNNNNNNNNNNNNNNNNNNNNNNNNNNNNNNNNNNNNNNNNNNNNNNNNNNNNNNNNNNNNNNNNNNNNNNNNNNNNNNNNNNNNNNNNNNNNNNNNNNNNNNNNNNNNNNNNNNNNNNNNNNNNNNNNNNNNNNNNNNNNNNNNNNNNNNNNNNNNNNNNNNNNNNNNNNNNNNNNNNNNNNNNNNNNNNNNNNNNNNNNNNNNNNNNNNNNNNNNNNNNNNNNNNNNNNNNNNNNNNNNNNNNNNNNNNNNNNNNNNNNNNNNNNNNNNNNNNNNNNNNNNNNNNNNNNNNNNNNNNNNNNNNNNNNNNNNNNNNNNNNNNNNNNNNNNNNNNNNNNNNNNNNNNNNNNNNNNNNNNNNNNNNNNNNNNNNNNNNNNNNNNNNNNNNNNNNNNNNNNNNNNNNNNNNNNNNNNNNNNNNNNNNNNNNNNNNNNNNNNNNNNNNNNNNNNNNNNNNNNNNNNNNNNNNNNNNNNNNNNNNNNNNNNNNNNNNNNNNNNNNNNNNNNNNNNNNNNNNNNNNNNNNNNNNNNNNNNNNNNNNNNNNNNNNNNNNNNNNNNNNNNNNNNNNNNNNNNNNNNNNNNNNNNNNNNNNNNNNNNNNNNNNNNNNNNNNNNNNNNNNNNNNNNNNNNNNNNNNNNNNNNNNNNNNNNNNNNNNNNNNNNNNNNNNNNNNNNNNNNNNNNNNNNNNNNNNNNNNNNNNNNNNNNNNNNNNNNNNNNNNNNNNNNNNNNNNNNNNNNNNNNNNNNNNNNNNNNNNNNNNNNNNNNNNNNNNNNNNNNNNNNNNNNNNNNNNNNNNNNNNNNNNNNNNNNNNNNNNNNNNNNNNNNNNNNNNNNNNNNNNNNNNNNNNNNNNNNNNNNNNNNAAAGGUUUUCAUAUAAAUAGACUAACGAGACAAGAUGGUAAAAUAGAUUAAGACAUAGUUAACAAAAACAUACAUUGGGUGAUUAUUCUAUCAAAGUUCAUUAAUUAUCUUAGUACUAUUUUUUGACACGACUUGAACGUGUUUUGUGAAAUGUGAAUCUUAUUUAAAGAUAGUGUAACUUUAGACUAAUCAAUUUUCCAUAUAUAAAAGUUAGUGAAUCAUUGUAAUUUGAAAUUGAUAUUCAUGCCUAAUACAAAAGUUUUUUACUUUAAACAGUUGGUCAGUUUUGAUAACAUUCAAAAAUAUAAAAGGCUUCAUCGAAAGUACUUAGCAUAAACACAUAAUUACAAAAACAAUAAUAUCAUCAAACAAAAAUAAAUGUAAUUUUCAAAAGUGAAAUUUGAAGAGGGAUAGAGAUAGAGUGUACACAUAUCAUAUCCGUAUUUCUUAGACAUAAAGAAAUUAUUUCCAAUAAACACCAAACUUAUAAUAAAGCAUAUUCCAACAAAUAGGAAAAAGAAAAUUUGGGUAAAUGAGAAUUGUAGCAACAACAAGAUAAAUGAGAACACAUGAUUAAGAAUUAAAAUCAAUCUAGUAGUCUUGAGCAUGAUAGAUUAUUUAUAAGUGCUUAAUAAAGGUGAAUAAAUACAAAGACAGUAAUAAAAAACCUAUCAUUAACUACUUUAUUUAUGAAUUUCAUACUAAUAGAAAUAUCUAAGAUAGAACUUGGAACUUACUAUCCUCUUGCCUAGCAGACAAAGAUUUACUUCCGUGGAAAGGCUGAUUUAUGCGGAUCGACAUGAGAGUCCAACUACAUUGCCAUAAUCCAUGUUGUAUAUUUGAAAGAGGUUGACCUCCUUACUUAUUUCAUGUUAUUCUCCUCUUCCCGCCGAACCCCUUUUCUCCUCAGUACACUAAGACAAAAUGUAGGACUGGUGUCAAUAAUUCAUCACGGUCCGCAUGUAACAAAUGAUACAAUGAUAAUUACGCAAUAUAAUAACAACAAAAUAAAGCAUAGAACACAUAUUUUUAGCACAAAAGUAGACAAAGAUAGCUUAAAAAAUAUUUUGGCCUCGCAAAUAAAAGACGCUCGUAAAAAUAUGAAAAUGAAGGAUAAAAUUGGGUGUCAACAAUUAUUUUUUCAUUGGGAUAAAACUUCACAUAUUUUUGCCUGAAUUGUUGUUUUAUGAAAGCCAAAUAUAAAGUAAUUUGGCCCGUAAUUUUGGUAUGACUUACUAAGGUCAACUAUAACACUUCAAAAAUUUGAAUUAGAUUUGAGUCAUUAAAUUUCAUUGCUUUGACUGCUAAAGCAAAUGUAAAUACAUACAAAAGCUAAUAUCUUAUCAUGUACAAGGUGUACAAAAAGGUUGAAAUCAAAGAGAAUUUAAAAUAUCAAAUUUUGAUCGUCGAGGUAUGAUGAAUAUAUGGAUUGUAAAUGUGACACGCGGACGGUCCGCAUGUCCAAUCAUAUGUGAGGUUUAGAAGGUUAUAAAUUUUGAAGUGGAACUAAAGAAUUUUCAUAAUUUUUUGAGGCAAUUUAGGAAGAUAUUAAACAUAUAUUGUUAUCAAUUUUUAAUUUAAAUCGAAUGUUUAACAAAAUUGAUAUUAUAAUAAAACUCUCAUAUUUAGGCUCGUUACUCGUAAGUCUUCAACAUGGGACAACAGACAAUCUCAAACACCCAGUGUGUUACAUCCUUUUCCCUUAGGAUCAUUCAUCCUCGAAAUAUGACAACACAUUAAUCAUCUACUUUCUCAAACAAAGGUCUUGGGUAUUCAAACUCACAUAAUUCUACCUUUUUAGAACGUCUAAUCAAUUAUUUAAAGACUAUUUUGUCAAAUCGGAGGUUUGCAUGAUCAUAUCAAUCUCAUUCAUAAAGCGUCAACCCCAUUAACUUCUCUUGAGCAGUUCAUAUGCUUAGAAAAAUCAUUUUUAUGGGAUUUCUAGGUUCCUCAGAUUCAUAAUUAAGGCUAGGUUUAUAAUUCUAUACUAGUAGACAAUGUUUAACGGACUAAAAUUGAAAAUUAUUCAUAAUUAACCUGCCCCACAUGUUGUGCCAUUAAAAUAAUAAUUCUAUCCCCCAAGGCCUAGCUCAAGUGGCAAAAGGUGGAGGAUUUGUGGCUUAGGUCGCAGGUUCAAGCCCCACACCAUGCAAAGCGAAGCCCGGUAUUUAAGUGGAGAAGGGUAGAGGGGCGGGCCCAUUAUCCACUGAGUUUAGAAGGCUGUGAUUGGUCCACCACGAAUUUCUCGGUUAUCAAAAAAAUAAAAAAUUCUAGGUUUCAAUGUGUAAAAUCCUAUGAAGAGCAUAUCUUUCAAUUCAGGGAGGACAUCGAAGUAUGGAAGGAACGAAUGAAAGAACGAAAACACAUACCUCAAGAGAGAAAAUCACCAAGUCUUUGACAAAUCUCCUAUAGGAUUCUCUGGUAAAAAAAAUUACGUUAUGACUAAGUCUGAAUGAAAACUAACUUAAAAACACGAGUUAUUGUUUCCCGACCUUCACUAUAGCGAAACUUCGCUACCUUCUCUAUGUAGCAUUCUUUCGUUAUAGCAAUCUCGCUAUUUAAAGAAAGUGUUCGCUAUAGUGAAGCACUAGCUGAAUUUCACACUCGCUUUUCCAUUUCAAAAUUUCUACCAACUCUUAACCCACAGAGAUCUACACAAGGGUACUAUCGCCCUAAACAAUCAUAACGAUGGAACAAGUCGUUACACAUUUGCUGAAUAAUCUUAAUUGUAGUAAAAUAGAUGUAAUCUACUGAAACUUUGUUGAGGGAGAAUUUUUUGUAUUGAGGAUAAUGAGUAUGUUGUUUUAUGCAAAUUGUCAUAUUUUGUCGAUAAAACAAUAAAGUCAUGAGUGUCGAACCAAAUGUUAGCUAGUUUUGGACAUCAUUCUGGUUUCAUUAUUUUCAUUUGGACAAAACUUCACACUUUUAUCUAAAUUGUGAUCUUACUGAUACGCUCAAAUUACACCUCCUUUCAGAAGCAUAAGCGAUCGUUAUCAAGUAAAGAACCCAACUUGUAGGUUGGGAUCGAUCCCACGAGGAAAAUGGUUUAGACUUUACUUUUAACCAACAAUUAUAUUCAAUUAGUCAAAUUAUUUCCAGAAACAGGUAAUAAAAAGGGGGGUUGUGCUUGUGUAAAACAAAUAGUAAGACUUAAUAUUGUAAUCAAUAAUUAAAUUCAACUUUAAUUGUUAUCAAGAUAGGAGAAAUAACUAGGGUACACGUGUUCCCCAUAAUCUCAUAACGCAGUAAUCCUAGCAAUAGCAAUCCUUUUCUAGUAUAUUACAUGCAAAGUGAUAAGUUAGGUAUCUCUAAAUCCUUGGUCCGGCAUCUAGAGAAUUUCACCCCGCACCUUGGUCCGGCUACGUGUGUAUAAUUUACUAACCCUUACCUUUACCUCAUAUUAGACAUCAUAAUCGAUGUUUGGCUUAGUUAUUACUUCGCACCAAUCAACACUAGCUUAUUAGAUAGUAUCACACUAAAUCUAUGUUGAUAAUUCUUUUCUUGUUAAUUACCUCCUUGGUCCGGCAAGUAGCAACAAGGCGAGUUCUAACGCAUGUACUCAUUAAAAAGACUUUUAAACGAAAGAAUGAUCAAUGCAUGCAAAACACUAUUCAAGAAUUACUUAUUUACUAUUCAUACUUUGUUAAUCGAUCAUGGUUCCCACAACCCUAGUUGUGAAUUUAGUUACUCAUAUUGGCAAGAACACAAUUCAUAAUUAUAGAUGAAGAAAUCAUGAACUUACGUAGAACGAAUAAUAAACCCAGAAUUUCAACUUGAAUUGCAACACCAAAAUCUUCAAAAUGAACUUAGGAAAUNNNNNNNNNNNNNNNNNNNNNNNNNNNNNNNNNNNNNNNNNNNNNNNNNNNNNNNNNNNNNNNNNNNNNNNNNNNNNNNNNNNNNNNNNNNNNNNNNNNNNNNNNNNNNNNNNNNNNNNNNNNNNNNNNNNNNNNNNNNNNNNNNNNNNNNNNNNNNNNNNNNNNNNNUAGAUCGACCUACGGUCCGUCAAUCCCCUCCGUAGCUCCAUACUUAGAAUCUUCAAAAAUCAGGUACUGGAACCCUCGCAGUAUCACUCUACGGAUCAACAGUACGGUCCGUAGAUCAGUCUACGGACCGUCAAUGGGCGUCGUGGUUCCACACUUGGUCAGAUUUCCCUGAUUUAUCCUCACUAUCAUGCCUGCUGAUCUACGGUCAUAACCUACGGACCGUGGAUGGAUCUACGGUCCGUAGAUCACCUCCGUGGAUGUCCCUUUUCUGCAAUUCCUUCAGCUGUCUCUACACAUCCGCACCUGAACGUCUUUCCUGCAAAACAUGGUAAAAACACAUCAAAACCAAUAUAAAAAGGCCUUAGACACACACAACUAGUAAGUGAAACGUAUUAGAAAUACCGUAAACUCACGGUAUAUCACUUACGAAAGCCAAACAUCAAAUAUUUUUGCCCAAUAAUUGGUAUGGCCUACCAAGGUUAACUGUAACACUUCAAAAAUUUGGAUUAAAUUUGAGUCAUUAAAUUUCAUUGCUUUGACUCGAGCUACGUUAAAGCAAAUGUGAAUAUGUAAAAGUUAAUUUCUUAUCGUGUACAAAGGGUGCAAAAAGGUUGAAAUUAAAAUAAAAAUAAAAAUAUCAAAUUUAGAUCGUUGAUAUGACAUAUGUUAGAAUAGUAAUAGGUAUAUACAAUCCUACUUAGAAUAGGAAUAGGUUUAUACAAUCCUAUUUAGAAUAGGAAUAGGAAUAGGAAUAGUAAAUAGUAUCUUAUUUGGUAAAGGAUUGUAUUCUAGUGUCUAUAAAUACGGUUUCAAUGUAAUAAUGUAGACACAACAACAAUUCAAUAAUAUUCCUCCCCUAUAUUUCUCACAUGGUAUGCCUUGUAUGUCGAUUACGUAAGACACUCUGUGGUCUAAAACAGUCUUUGCAAGCUUGGUUUGGGAAGUUCCAACACUGUAAUUUUAUCACUCUAUGUUUUAUCGGCAUUAUGCAUCAAAUUCAGUAUUUCAUGAGAAGACUAAGCACAUUGAGAUUGAUUGUCAAUUUUGUGAAGUCGAGUGAUCAACUUUCAUAUAUCUCACCAAGCUCCUCUUCGGUCCUCGUAUUAAUUAUAUUUGUUACAAGCUAGAUACAUAUGAUUUGUAUGCACUAGCUUGAGGGGGAGUGUUAGAAUAGUAAUAGGUAUAUACAAUCCUACUUAGAAUAGGAAUAGGUUUAUACAAUCCUAUUUAGAAUAUGAAUAGGAAUAGAAAUAGUAAUAGAAAUAGGAAUAGUAAAUAGUAUCCUAUUUGGUAAAUGAUUGUAUUGUAGUGUCUAUAAAUAGGGUAUUUGUGUAAUAAUGUAGAUACAACAAUAAUUCAAUAAUAUUCUUGUCUUAUAUUUCUCACAACAUAAAUAUAUACAGACUGUACAUAUGAAACGGGAACGGUCUGCAUGUCCAAUCAUAUAUGAGGUUCAGAAGUUAGAAAUUUUCAAGUGGAACAAAAUAAUUUUCAUAAAUUUUUAGGCAUUUUAGGAAGAAAUUAAGCAUAUAUUGCAAUCAAAAUUUUAAUUUAAAUCAGAUAUUGAACAAAAGUGGUAUUAUAAUAAAACUCUCAUAUUUAGACUCAUUACUCGUAAGUUUUCAACAUGAGACAACGGACAGUAAUAAAACUCUCAUAUUUAGACUCAUUACUCGUAAGUUCUCAACAUGAGACGACGGACAAUCUUAAACAUUUGGGAUGUGACAUCUUCCUCCUUAGGAACAUUCAUUCUCGAAAUAUGACUACACAUUAAUCAUCUUCUUUCUCAAACGAAGGUCUUGAGUAUUCAAACUCACAAAAUUUUACCUUUUUAGAAGGUUUAAUCAAUUAUUAAAGAUGACUUUAUCAAAUUGAAAGUAUGCAUGAUCAUAAUGAAGUUGUGAAGUUUCGCUAUAGAGAAGGUCGGAAAACAGUAACUCACGUUUAUAUGUUAGUUUUUGUCCGUCCUUAGUCAUAAUGUAAAAUAUUUGACCAGAGAACCCAGAGGAGAUUAUUUCAAGACUUGGGGUUUCUCUCUUGAGGUAAGUGCUUUUCGUUCAUUCAUUUCUUCCAUAAUUCGGUUUCCUCCCAGAACUGAAAAGAUAUCCAUAGGAUUUUAUCCAUUGAAACCUAGGGUUAUUAUUUUGAUGGCACAACAUGUGGGGCAGGUUAAUUAUGAAUGAUUUUCAAUUCUUGUCUGUUAAAUUUUGUCUUUCUAGAAUAGAAUUAUGAACCUAGCCUACCUAGAAAUUCCAUAAAAAUGAUUCUUCGAGCAUAUGAAUUGUUCAACAGAAGUUAAUGAGGUUGAAAUAGUGAUCUAGUUAUUACAAAGAAAGUGUCCGCUAUAGUGAAACACUAGCAAAUUUUCAUACUCGAUUUUCAAUUUCCAGAUUUCUACCAACUCUUGACACACGGAGAUCUACACAAGGGUACUAUAGCCCUAAACAACUAUAAUGACGGAAUAAGUCAUUACACAUCUGCUGAAUAAUCUUAAUUGUAGCCAAAUAGUUGUUAUCUACUGGAACUUUGUUGAGGGAGAGUUUUCCUCGUCAUAUUUUUGUUGAUAAAACAACAAAGCCAUGAUUGUCAGACAAAAAUGUUAGCUAGUUUUGGACAUCAUUCUGCUUACAUUUGGACAAAACUUCACACCAUACCAUACCAGUUUUACUGCUAUGAACUCUACCAAGUUUUGAUGUGAUGAUGGGGUAAGUUGCUAAUUUUUUAAGCUUUUGUUGUUGCCAGAACUAUGUAAUAUGAUUCGGCAACUGCCUUGAUCGAAAUAUUGGGGAUUUAUGGAAAAUCUCUUAUUUUCUGAACAGGUAGACCUAAAUGGUCUAUGAGAGUUAUUUAGGGAGGAUAUGGAAUGGUUAUGAAAAGGGCAAAGUAGAUGGCAAAAUCAAUUUAUAGUCUUGGUUUUAUUUCAAAAAUUCAUGUCCAGACUAUUUGCUUGACUAAUACCUGCAUAACUAAUACCCGCAUAAGUAAUACCUGCAUAACUAAAACCAACAUAAGUAAUACCUGCAUAACUAAUACUCACAUAACUCUAUCCAGCUACCAAACAACUAUGGAAAGAUCGAAGCAAUGAAAGCAGAGUGGUUGCUACUAGUAAUGUCUUGUCAUUGCAAACAAAUACAGGCAGAUGGUCAUGUUAGUUUGCAACAACACAUGGCUGCUUCCAUAUUAUCAUACACAAUAGAGGACAAGCUUAAAGAAGUUGUAGUAGCUUAAGCUAUUCAAGAAUCCAAUGGUCCAUAAAGAACUAAUGGGGUGGUGGGUUAAAGAAUGUACAUUUUGGGAUAGAAUUUUUGUUCUGGAUGNNNNNNNNNNNNNNNNNNNNNNNNNNNNNNNNNNNNNNNNNNNNNNNNNNNNNNNNNNNNNNNNNNNNNNNNNNNNNNNNNNNNNNNNNNNNNNNNNNNNNNNNNNNNNNNNNNNNNNNNNNNNNNNNNNNNNNNNNNNNNNNNNNNNNNNNNNNNNNNNNNNNNNNNNNNNNNNNNNNNNNNNNNNNNNNNNNNNNNNNNNNNNNNNNNNNNNNNNNNNNNNNNNNNNNNNNNNNNNNNNNNNNNNNNNNNNNNNNNNNNNNNNNNNNNNNNNNNNNNNNNNNNNNNNNNNNNNNNNNNNNNNNNNNNNNNNNNNNNNNNNNNNNNNNNNNNNNNNNNNNNNNNNNNNNNNNNNNNNNNNNNNNNNNNNNNNNNNNNNNNNNNNNNNNNNNNNNNNNNNNNNNNNNNNNNNNNNNNNNNNNNNNNNNNNNNNNNNNNNNNNNNNNNNNNNNNNNNNNNNNNNNNNNNNNNNNNNNNNNNNNNNNNNNNNNNNNNNNNNNNNNNNNNNNNNNNNNNNNNNNNNNNNNNNNNNNNNNNNNNNNNNNNNNNNNNNNNNNNNNNNNNNNNNNNNNNNNNNNNNNNNNNNNNNNNNNNNNNNNNNNNNNNNNNNNNNNNNNNNNNNNNNNNNNNNNNNNNNNNNNNNNNNNNNNNNNNNNNNNNNNNNNNNNNNNNNNNNNNNNNNNNNNNNNNNNNNNNNNNNNNNNNNNNNNNNNNNNNNNNNNNNNNNNNNNNNNNNNNNNNNNNNNNNNNNNNNNNNNNNNNNNNNNNNNNNNNNNNNNNNNNNNNNNNNNNNNNNNNNNNNNNNNNNNNNNNNNNNNNNNNNNNNNNNNNNNNNNNNNNNNNNNNNNNNNNNNNNNNNAGAGCAAUGUCAAUGACACAAAUGUAUGAAGAUACACAUAUACAGUACCAUGUCAUUAACAAACUAAACCUACAAGGUAUAUCCUACCUUGUUCACAACUUUUCAUGUGCACUCAAACAUUCUAGGUUGGUUAUGAGUUAUGACCUUCCAUAAUAAUAAUGACUCGGAGCUAAUAACAAAAUCAAAGAUCCUGAGAGCUAUCUGACCCACAUAGAGUAAAAGCCAAAUAAUUUGCACAUACUCCAGCUGCACUCAACUUUUGAAAAACAAAUCUUUUUUCAUUUCAAAUCAUGAAAAUUUUGGCUAACUACUACCAACAUGAAUUCUUCAAUACUUCAUCUUUUUGCACUUUCUAGUUUAAUAGUGUCCUCCACACCAAUAAAAGAAUGGGUGGAAGUCAAAUAAGAGGAUUUAUCUAGUAGCUUUUUUCAUCUUUCUGUACCAGAGGUAUGGAUAAGCUUGACCGUAGUAAUAUCAUUGUUCAUCUAACCAAGCUACAAAUAACUCAUGUCCCAUCGAUGCCAAGAAAAGCUUAACAACAAUCAGAGGAAAUAAAUGGUAAUUCAUACUCUAACAAGAAUAAAACCAACAGAAGUUGUAAGUUGCACUUGUGAUUUUCAUGCUGCAAGUUUAAAGAUUGGACAUAGGAAAAUGUCACAAACAUAUCUGAUGAUUGAAUGUGCAGAAUCAAAGAGACUUACACUUUACUGAAGAUAAGCCUUCCCAUGUCUGCAGUGGAAAGACUGAAGGAAAGAUCAGAAGGAAAACAUAGAGUUAGAUAACUUCAUAACUCAGAAUGACUACAUACAUUAUUUAGGGGAUGAAACAACAUUAAACUUCAAUAUAAUUAAUUGCAGAAUCAAUAUUUUACUCCAUACAAAAAGCAUUUGAAUUUUCCAAGAAACGGUAGUUUCAAAGCUCCAACACUUGAAAAUGUGCUCUGAUUCUAUGCUAUAGAAGUCAUAUGGAAUUUUUCAUUGGAAAGACUGACCUACAAAGUCAACUUAUAUAAUAAAGAAAGUCAUGAAUGUACAUUACAAUGAAAUUGAGCAAAAUAAAGUGACCAAACAAGCACCAAAUUGAUCAAAAUAUAGAAAAUAGAUCAGUCCCAAGACCUGAUCAAUGGACUGGGCAUAACAAUAAUAGUUUGAAAUAUUGAAGCCACUAGCACACAAACAUGGAACAAAUGGAAAAUACCAAUCAAGUAUACUCCAAGUAUCAGACUCAACAAACAAAUCCUCUAAUUGAUAACUGGAUUAAGCAGGAAUAUUGUAUGGUAUGCUAUCAGCAAAAAUAACUACUAUUUUUUUUAAAGUUCACAAAGAAUACUCAUACAAUCCCUUUUUUACUCCAAAACCAGCAACUCCACAAAACCCAGCUCUUUGAUGCUAAAAAAUUCAUCUCCUUUAGGGAAAAAUUACUCAAUCUGAGACAUUCUUCACUCACAUAGCUGAUUUAAAGUAGCCAAUUUUUAUAUACAUCUAAAAUUACUUAAACAGACCAACAACAAUCCCUAACAAGUUCUAGAAACGAAACCGAAACCACCGAUCAAGCCAAAGAUUGUAUUUUUACAACAAAAUAAAUCAAAAUCAAAAUUAAAAAGAUCCCAAUUUCAAGAAAUCACAAUAACAGAGUGAUCAAACAGAAAAGAUGGAGGAAACCUUGGAAACAAUGUUUUCAGAAAGGGCAAGAUGAGUUCCACAGUGCUUGCAGCUGUAGAUCUUGCCUUCAAGAGUCAACACAAAUAAUCUCCGCAUCAAUGAUUUUUGAGAUCACAUGAAAAUGGAAGAACGAAAAUGGAAAAGGACUUAUCCAAAAAGGGGUAAUAGUUUUUGUUUCGGCUGGAAGAUAUUAAGUAACAUCAAGAAAGGGAAAGGAUUCAAUGUGUGAGGGACUCUUUGAAUAAUUUAAUGCUACUUGCUUUUGUCCUUUUUAGUCCAUUUAAAAAAUGGAAAAGAUAAAAAAUAUCCUUAAAUUAUGUGAAAUGAAUAAAAAUGUUAUUAUUUAUGAACAAAAUUAUCCUUGCAGUCAAUACUUUGGUACAAAUACCCUUAUCGUUGAUAAUUUGGUCCAAAAGUACCCUAGAGUUACUCGUAAGUUCUCAACAUGAGACGACGGACAAUCUUAAACACCCGGGAUGUUACAUCCUUUCCCCCUUAGGAACAUUCAUUCUCGAAAUAUGACAACACAUUAAUCAUCUUCUUUCUCAAACGAAGGUCUUGAGUAUUCAAACUGACAUAAUUUUACCUUUUUAUGUCACGACCCAAAUUAGGUCUAUGACCGGCGCUAAGGGGAAAGAAUCCCAAAGCAAGCCUUACCAUAAAUUUACAGAAAAUCGGGCAGAAUUUCCUUUAUUUUUGUGCCUAGCCUGAAUUUUUCCCGUCUCGGAAAUCCACAACACAAAUAAUAACAACUACAAACCAAAACCUAAUAUCCACUAAUGGUCUAACUUUGACGCAAUAAUACCAGUUAUAUCUCCAAAUAUGAAAAAGAAGUUCAAACUAGUCACUUGACUACAAUACGAAGAAAUACUCAUGACUCAAAGGAAAGAAUGACGAAUGGAGUGACUUUAAGAGUUUUUAAAGAACUAAAUAAACCAUAGCAAAUCAAUAGAUCUCUUGCCACGCGAAGCAAUGCGGGGCUCACCAGGUGUUACCGAAUCACACUCUCUAGCUAAUGAAAUCCUCUUUAAUACCACCUGAGUUCUCUGAAAAAACAAUUAGCGAGGAGUGAGACGCUAGCUCAGUGAGUAAUAAUACUUAACCACAACCAUUUUAAUAAGGGACAAGUCAGAAAACAUGCUAGUAUAAUAAUCAAAAUGAUGAAAUAAUGCCUUUUCAGAAAUCAUAAUAUUAUUCAAUCUUAUGUGCCUCAUAUAAGCAAAAUCAAUGUAAAUACUUAAUAGUAAACUCAAAAAAACAUUUCCAUAUCAAAUCUUAUAGCUGGGAGGUUUCCAAGGAUGAAUCAUGUAAUCAGUGUGGCUUUCUCUUUAAAAAGUAACCAAUAACAGUAAACUCCUCAUAAAGGAGUUAAAUAUUCAUAUCAGUAGGUCCCUACUCGAGGGAUAUCAGUAACAGUAUACUAGUUCUACCUUCCCACUAGCAAGGGCUUUAUUAGUAAUCAGAACUACAAGGUGCACCAGGUCUAACGAACCCGCCGUUAGCUACGGGAUUCAUCAAGGUCUACUCCCAUUUAUACUUUUCUUAUAAUCAGUAGAAGCAUUCGAAAAUCGAACAGAGCAUUUAAAUCUUAUCAAAUCAUAUCAUUUCAAAGUUUAACAAUCACCUGUCAAAAUACUAUUUCUCAAAUAAGUGUAAAACCUUUUCAAUAANNNNNNNNNNNNNNNNNNNNNNNNNNNNNNNNNNNNNNNNNNNNNNNNNNNNNNNNNNNNNNNNNNNNNNNNNNNNNNNNNNNNNNNNNNNNNNNNNNNNNNNNNNNNNNNNNNNNNNNNNNNNNNNNNNNNNNNNNNNNNNNNNNNNNNNNNNNNNNNNNNNNNNNNNNNNNNNNNNNNNNNNNNNNNNNNNNNNNNNNNNNNNNNNNNNNNNNNNNNNNNNNNNNNNNNNNNNNNNNUGUUGAAGUACCAAAUCUGUCACUUGGGCAAUCUGUAUGACUUCCUUCAAUCAAUCUAUAAUCACAUCAUAUCGGUCUCAUAAUACUUCAUUCGUUUAGGCUAAUUCAUACUAAAUUCAGAAUACCCAAUCUUCGAGGUUUUAUGAUAGACUCUCAAUCUAUCAAUUUAUAUCAAAUUGGUGCUUCAGAUCCCGCAAAACAGUCUCAUUGUUGAUUACUUCACCCUAUAAUAAACAGAACUAAUGGCACUGUCCAGCAAUUCUUCUUCGGUUUAUGCCGAACUACCAAAAGUUUGGCCCAAACAUUUAAUAUACUCACUCAAACCGUAAGAUAAUAAGAGUUUAACGGAUUCCUUUAUUCCUUCUAAACCCAUGUUUUUCAAACUCUCAGUUCUCAAAUUUAUAGUCAGGGAAUAUACAAAUUCAAUCUUUAAACUAAUUUAAGAUACUUACCUUGAAAUCCAUACUUGAAAUAGCAAGAGUUCCACUUCUUCUCCAUUUAGUUAUUUUUCUCUGUUUUAAUCGAUUUCAUGCUCCUUCACAGGAAGAGACUCCAAGAACGUACUCUCUCUUCCUUUUUUUUUCCAAGAGUUGCUGAUAAAACUCUUAACUCCAAUAAUUUCUUUAGCUUAAUUUAAUGUUUCCCUUAUUAGGUUUCUGAUGGGCUAAGGCCCAUUUGAUUUUUUUUGGGCUAAUGACUAAUAUGUCCUUGUUUAAAAUAUGGGAUAUUACAUUCUCCCCACCUUAAUAAAUUCGGGGCCGAAUUUAAGUCAUUUGUAACUCAGAAUAGGUGUGGAUACUUGACCUUUCAUAUCCUCUCCCAAUUCUCAAGUAGCUUCUUCAAUGGUAUGUUUUCCCCAUACGAUUUUCAUGGACACAAUUUAUUUUGACCAAAAUUUCUUCGUUGUCUGUCAACAGCGGCCAUUGAUUCCUCCUCAUAUGUUAAGUUAUCAUCCAGUUGUAUAGUUGGUGCUUCAAGCACACAAGAGGAGUUUAAUAUACAUUUUCUUAACAGAUGUAGAAAACUGAACAACCAAAAUGCAUCUCAAAAGAAGGUUUCAAAAGGUAGAACACUACUCUCACCUGGUCUAGAAAUUUUAUAUGGUCUUGCAAAUUUUGAGCUCAAAUUUGCUCUUCUUCUUCUUCUUUUCAAAUCACUUCACGCUAUUCCUUGAUGGACUCUUAGGAAGGUUUUGUCCCCAACUAUGUACUCUAAAUUUCCUUUCCUCUUUUAUGUAUAAACCUUUAACCUACUUGAAUUGCGAGCAACUUUUGUCUGACUAACUGAACGUUUUCCAAGCUUUCAAUACCAAGUCUGGUCCCAAUACAUUAAUGUCUCCAACAUCAGACUUUCUAAUAGGAGAAAGACGUCACCUAUCAUAAUUCUUCAUAUGGAUCCAUCUAUUGUGUAGUGUGAUUUUUUGUGAUAGGCAAUUUCAGCCAAUGCUAGAUAAGCAUCUCAACUACCUCCAAUUACAUUAAGAACGAAAGAUUUUAGAAUAUCCUCUAGAAAUGUAGUCAAGGUUUUCUGAAACAAAUUUCAAAAAUAUGUUGUACAUUGUGAUUUACCGUCCAAUAUAAACAAUAAUGGAACUUCAUAGAGUCAAAAAUUCCAUUCAAGCAUAUCUCUACUAUAUUCCUCCGUUAUAUCCCGAUUGAGUCGACUUACAACUAACCAUACAGAGUCGUAACCUCUAGGAGUUCAUGUUAAAUGGGUCACAAAAUCCAUGGUAACACUUUCAUAUUCACUCUAGAGAUCCCGAGUUGUUGUAUUGAUCUUAAGGGUCGUUGAUGCUCAACUUUAACAUGUUAACCAGUCAAACAACUAGAAACAAGGAUAGCAACAUUUUUUUUGUCCUAUCAAUAUAAUUCUCUAAGGAAAUAUUACUUCUUGGUGAUCCCGAACCUAUAGUGUAGUUAGAGUUAUGACUUCCUCAAGAAUAACCUGCCUUAAACCAUCUAUGUUAAAUGGGAAACCACAUAACAAUCAAAAGUCGUAUCCUUGUCCUUACCCGCUAGAAUCUCAUUUCGAUAUUCACAGAACUUCUCAUCCUCGUAUUAGUUGGCCUUGAUAUGUGUUACCAAUAAAGACUUGAGCUGAACAUAAGCAAAUAGUGUCUCUGAGUUUCUCACACUAAUUUGAUACUUGUAUCCCUGAGUAUGUGCAAAUUCUAGGCUAAAAGUCCUUUCACAUGAGCUAUUUUCCCUUGUAUAAAUAGCCACACUUAGGCAAUUUUCACCUGCCUCGUCCAGCCUGCCUGUCCUACAAAGAAGCCUGUUGUUAUAUUAUCUGGACUCUCCAAACACUUCCACUGCUUCACCAGCUAAAAGUCAUUUCACGUGAACAUUAUGUUCCAUAUAACCUAUGGAUUUCCUUUUCAAAGCAUCUAUCUAAACAACUUUGUUUCCCAGAUGACGUCGAAUAGUAAAAUUUGACAUAGACAGAGUAGUUUUGUCCAUCCGUGUAAAUUUAAGGAUCAAAUCUUCUUCUUUUUUUUAAACUUACAUCUCAGGUUCUUGCGAUUUGUAUAAUUCGCAUUGGUUUCAUUGUAUAAGAGUGCUUCCGAACUUUAGCGCAAAUACCAUUGUAACCACCUUCAAAUUAUGAGAGGGCGGUCCUGCUCAUGCUUAUCUAGAUAUCUCGAAGUAUAACUGUCACACGAUCUUUCUUAAUGAGAACACGUCAUAAUCCCACCCUCGAAACAUCACAGAGCAUCAUGAAUCCUCCAAAACUUGACAGGAAGGCUAACACUGUUGUGGUGAUCAAACAUAUAUAUUCUGAGCUUCUAAAAGCAUCUAUUCAUAUUCCUCUGUUUACUGAAACUUCAUCUUUUUUUUUUGUAGUUGGUAAUUAAGUGGAGUUGUAAUUUCUAGAGUAGUGUUAUUCCAAAGAAACUAUGCACAAAGCCUGUUAAAAUCAAGAAGUUGUUAUUCUCUGUAAGAGUAGUGGGCUUGUAUCAUUUCUGAACUACGUUUUCCAACUUAGGUGUCGCCAAAAUCCCAUCAUUAGAUACAACAUACCCAAGCAAUGCUAUUGAGUCUAGUCACAAUUGUACUUAGCAUUUACAUAGUGUCGAUGCCUCACAGUGUUUGUAACCAAUUCCUCCUCAUCUUUAUGUUUUUCUCGACUAUGAGAGUAUACAGAAAUAUCAUCUGCAAACACUAUUAAACAAUCUGUACAGAAUGUCUUGAACACCCUAUUUAUUAAGUCCACGAAUGCACAUUGAACAUUGACCAGUCCGAGAGAUAUCACAGGGAACUCAUAAUAUUUGCACUCAAAAUUGGAGGUGGUCUUAGAAAUAUCAUCUUUCUUUGAUUGUAAGUUGAUAAUAACCCAAACUGGGGAUUGAUUUUCCGACAAGAGGAUGACUCGUUGUAACCAAUUAUGUAUGAAAUCUAUUCCAGACAACUAGGAUUUAUUAUGUCGUUACUUGUUCAAAAGUAUGUAGUCGAAGCACACCAGUGAUACUUUCAGUCUGAUGAACCUUUAUUUAAUAUGACCUACAAUUAUUUACUUAUCUCUUCUGAACUCCCUCGGUGUCAUACGAUAUAGGGGCAUCAAAAGGGUUGCACUCCACACCAAGUCAACAGAAAAAUCUAUUUAUCGUGCUAGUAGGUCUUGGCAAAUCCACAAAAAUACAUCUUUAAAUUAUGUCACUACCAAUACCAUUUCUAAAUUAGAAUAAAUAUCUCCUCCCUCAUGCCCUUUAGUAAAUCUUGAACCCUCAUCAUGGUAUAACAUCACUACUUUCUAAAGCCUGAGAUUUCCUUCUCUCUCUCUUUUUUUUUUUCCAGUUUCAACCUAGCAUGAAUCCAUGGUUGCUCUUUUUAUAACUUCACAUGUUUUUCAAAAUGUGCUUAGCAAUGUCAACGACCUCAAAGUAGGUAAAGCAUUUGUGUGCGAGGUUACUGCGCAGUCUAAGAGGCUAACCAUCCUUUCAAAAAAAUCUCCAUUAGUUAAUAAAUAGGGAGCAUAUCUAGCUAAUUGAAUAAUCCUGAGUCAUAUCUUAGUUCCAACGAAUCAUUUUGAACAAAUUCCUUAAAAUUCCUUAUUAAGUUACUCAUUCUCAACUGUCUAGACAAAAACAAUCCAUAAUAACUUAGUGAAUCGCCUCAAGUCUUUGGUGUUGUCCUACUGGUAUUUUGAAUAGUACAUUAUUAUACCAAGUAAUUAACCACGUUCACCGUCUGUAUGCUACCAGAACUAUAACACUUGCUGAAACAUGCUCGAGCUUAUAAAGCUUUAAGUAUUUCACCCAAGAAUAUUUUCCAAGAACCUUUAAGGAUCUUUGAGUUGUUAGAAACUUGGAGGUUUUAUCUUUAGAAAUCUCUAGGCUACUUUUUUUUUUUUGAGACAAAUCUGAAUCCUUCUAGUUGCCUGGAGCUGCUCUUGGGCUAUAUUUUGUUGCCUGAAUCUAUUCGCUCUGUCAAUUAAUAUAUCUUGCUCGGUAUAGGAAGAUACGUGUCCUAACAGUAACACUCUCAUGUUGUUAAAGUGCAGAGUAGUACUCUUUUCAGAAAAAAACUAUAUUACCUAUCACAUAGGUGCACGAAGAAUUCCUCACAAUGACAUAACCCCCUCUUUCUUGGCUUUUCCAACCAUUUGUUUGUUCCCCUUAUUGGGAGAGACGGUUGUUUACAAAGGUGACCCUUAAUGUCUCCAGACCUUUGGACUAUUCUUGUUAUUGGACGACUAAGUUCAAGAUAUGUGAUAGGAAGAUAAACAAUAUUAGAUUCAUCUAGUAGACCCUAUUAGUCACACAAAAAGAGGAAUGAGAAAGAAAGACAGACACAUCGUUUUAUGAUAGACUCUCAAUCUGUCAAUUUAUAUCAAAUUGGUGCUUCAGAUCCCGCAAAACAGUCUCAUUGUUGAUUACUUCACCCUAUAAUAAGCAAAACUAAUGUAACUUUGUCACCACCCAAAUUAGGUCUGUGACCGGCGCUAAGGGGAAAGAAUCCCAAAGCAAGCCUUACCAUAUAUUUACAGAAAAUCGGGCAGAGUUUCCUUUAUUCCUUCUAAGCCCAUGUUUUUCAAACUCUCAGUUCUCAAAUUUAUAGUCAGGGAAUAUACAAAUUCAAUCUUUAAACUAAGUUAAGAUACUUACCUUGAAAUCCAUACUUGAAAUAGCAAGAGUUCCACUUCUUCUCCAUUUAGUUAUUUUUCUCUGCUUUAAUCGAUUCCAUGCUCCUUCACAGGAAGAGACUCUAAGAACGUACUCUUUCUUCCUUCUUUUUUCCAAGAGUUGCUGACAAAACUCUUAACUCCAAUAAUUUAUUUAGCUUAAUUUAAUUUUUCCCUUAUUAGGUUUCUAAUGGGCUAAGGCCCAUUUGAUUUUUUCUUGGCUAAUGACUAAUAUGUCGUUGUUUAAAAUAUGGGAUAUUACAUUUUAGAAGGUCUAAUCAAUUAUAUACAGAUGACUUUAUCAAAUCAUAAGCAUGCAUGAUCAUAACGAAGUUGCGAAGUUUUGCUAUAGAGGUCGGAAAACAGUAACUCACGUUUUUAUGUUAGCUUUCGUCCGUACUUAGUCAUAAUGUAAAAUAUUUGACCAAAGAAUCCCAUAGGAGAUUUUUCAAAGAUUUGGGGUUUUUCUCUGGUAAGGUAAGUGCUUUCCGUUCAUUCAUUUCUUCCAUAAUUCGGUUUCCUCCCAGAAUUGAUAGGUAUGUCCAUAGGAUUUUAUGCAUAGAAACCUAGGGUUAUUAUUUUGAUGGCACAACAUGUGGGGCAGGUUAAUUAUGAAUGAUUUUCAAUUCUAGUCCGUUAAAGUUUGUCUUCUAGUAUAGAAUUAUGAACCUAGCCUUAAUUAUGAAUUUGGGGAACCUAGAAACCCCAUAAAAUUGAUUCUUUGGGUAUAUGAACUGCUCAACAGAAGUUAAUGAGGUUGAAAUAGUGAUCUCGUUAUUACAAAGAAAGUGUCCGCUAUAGUGAAACACUAGCAAAUUUUCAUACUCGAUUUUCCAUUUCUAGAUUUCUACCAACUCUUGACCCACGGAGAUCUACACAAGGGUACUAUAGCCCUAAACAACUAUAAUGACAGAAUAGGUCAUUACACAUCUGCUGAAUAAUCUUAAUUAUAGCCAAAUAGUUGUUAUCUAUAAGGCGAGGCUCAUGUUAGUGGGCCCUUCUAUUAUUUUUUUUAAAACAUCAGUUUAAAUUUUUAAAAAGGGGUCCUUUUAAAUUAUUAUAAAGAGUAUGUUUCAGUUCCCUAUACUGCAAUUAAUGGGAAGUCACAGAGUUUCUAAAAGACCAAAAAAAAAAAAGAAGAAGAUGAAGAAUUAUAAGAAGACAAGAGGACUUGAAGGCUUGAAGCACAAAAAAAAACAAUCAGAUCUGAUUCUUCUUCCGCUGGCUGAACAAGCAGCAAGCAAAUAUAGGUAUCUUCUUUCUCUUAUUUCUUCUUACUUUUUUACUGAUUUCAUCAAUUGUUGAUGCUGAACAUUCAAUAGUUCAUACUCCUUUUUAUCUUUGUAGAAAAUUUAAAACUAAAUGAAAAUAUGGGACACUUGUCCUUGUUUAAUGACUUAUGGUGUCUUUAAUUUAAUAAUGAUCAAUGAAAAUUUAACACAUGUAAUAGGAUAAGAACAAAGCUAAUUUUCUUAGAAGCCAUAUAGCCAUAGUGGUGGACAUGUGGACCCCAUAUAUAUGUAGUUGUUGACUUGUUGUAUUUCAUUAUUUGCUGAGUUAUAAUUGCAUGCAAAGUUCUUUAUACAUUUUUUUUUUGUUUCAGCUUAAAAAUAACAAAGAACCUGUGUCCCUUUUUUUUGUUUUUGUUGUGUAUUAUUAUUUAUUAUUUAGAAAUUAUAACUGCUAUAUUAUAACUUCUUCUUUUUUCAGAAGUAGAAAUGGCAGAGGACUUGUCUAAAGGCAAUAGAAGGGAUCCUGGUUGGAAAUAUAACUACUUGAAGGACCCCGAUGACACUACAAGAGUCACGUGCAAUUUUUGUGGAAAAACAACCACGGGUGGAAUUAAUUGGGCAAAACAACAUUUGAUUGGAAAUUUUAGGAAUGCAGCGAAGUGUAAAAAAUGCCCAGAGGAGGUUAGAGAGGAACUGAAAAAUUACAUGGAGGAGAAAAAAAUAAGAAAGGAAGUCUAUACUAACGAGUUUCCCGAAUUUGAUGAGUUUGAAUAUCAAGACAAUGUUGGUGGAGAAGAUGAAGUCCAAGAGAUCAAUCAUAAGAAAAGAGGCGGAGGAAGCUUUCCUAGUGGCUCUAAUAAGAAACUGGCCAAAGGAAAGGGACCUAUGGAUAUGUUUCUACAAAAGCGUGGAACACUUAGGCAAACAAAUAUCAAAGACUCGUGUGAUAAAGAAGCAAGAGCAAUGACGAUUCAAAAAGUAGCUCGCUUCUUUUAUGAUAAUGGGAUCCCAUUCAAUGUAGCUCGCUCAAAAAGUUUUAAGGAAGCAAUUGAGGCUGUAGGAAGGUAUGGUCCAAACUUGAAGCCUCCAAGCUACCAUGAAUUAAGAGUUCCAUUACUUAGGAAGGAAGUUGAGUUGACCAAUGAGAUUAUAAACAGACAUAGAGAAGAAUGGGUGAAGUAUGGAACUUCCAUUAUGGCAGAUGGUUGGACAGAUAAAAAACAGAGAACUCUGAUAAACUUUUUGGUGAAUUCUCCACAUGGAACAAUGUUCAUUGAGUCGAUAGAUGCUUCCUCACUUGUUAAGACCGGAGAGAAGUUAUGUGAAUUGCUAGAUAGAUAUGUGGAACGCGUUGGAGAACAGAAUGUGGUUCAAAUUGUAAGUGAUAAUGGUAGCAACUUUGUGUUGGCUGGUAAGAAUUUAUUGCUUUAAAAAUCUAAGUUUUAUGUUUUACUUUCUAAUAUCGAUCAAAGUUUUGAUUUCUAAAUUUUAACAUAUCUAUUUACCCUUUUUUUCUAUAGGUCAACUGUUACAGAGAAAAAGACCACACAUAUUUUGGACGCCAUGUGCAGCUCAUUGUAUAGAUCUUAUGUUAGAAGACAUAGGGAAGAUUCCUAUCAUCAAGAAGACCCUCCAAAAAGCAAUUGCCCUUGUCAGUUUCAUUUAUGGACACUCAGGAGUCUUAAAUAUGAUGAGACAUUUCACUAAAAAUAAAGAGUUGGUGAAAUGUGGAAUUACUCGAUUUGCAACGAGUUUUCUGACUUUGCAACGGUUGCAUUGUCAAAAAACAAAUCUGCGAGCAAUGUUUACAUCUGACAAAUGGGUGAUUAGUAGGUGGGCUAAGUUACCAAGGGGGAAAAGUGCAACACAUAUUGUCUUGACGGCAACAUUCUGGAGUCAGGUUUCUAAUAUUUUGAAGAUAAUGGGGCCUCUUGUUAAAGUGUUGCGAUUAGCUGAUAAUGAGAAAAAACCUGCCAUGGGGUACAUUUAUGAAGCCGUGGAUAGAGCUAAGGAGGCUAUUGCAAAGGCAUUUGAAGGGAAUGCUGCAAAAUAUAAAGAUAUCUUUAAGAUUAUUGAUGAAAGAUGGCAAUGCCAAUUGCAUCAUCCAUUACAUGCUGCUGGACAUUAUUUAAAUCCAGAGUUCUUCUUUCAAAAUCCAGGUAUUGAGAAUUGUCAAGAAGUAACAGAUGGGUUGUAUGCUUGUAUUGAAAAAUUGGUUCCAAGCACUGAAGUACAAGACAAGAUCAUAUCAGAGAUACCAUUGUACACAAGAUUGAACAACAAUUUGGCCUUCCUAUUGCAAAAAGAGCUAGAACGAAAAGAUCUCCUGGUAAGUGAAUACAAUAACAUUAAAAUUAUUAAUUAUUUAGUUUAUGUUUAAAAGUUUACUUAAUACUUCUUACUUAGGUAAUAACUUAUACAUAAUGAUGUCUACAUAACACUUUUUACAGUUGAAUGGAAUUUAUAUGGUAAUUCAGCUCCCAAUCUCCAAAAAUUAGCCAUUAGAAUUUUGGGUUUAACAGCUAGUUCUGCUGGAUGUGAGUGUAACUGGAGUGUGUUUGAGCAUGUAAGUACUAAGUGCUCGCAUCAUAUUUAUUAAUUUUUCUUUGCAUAGUUAAUCAAUUAGACUAAUUUACUAACACUAACCAAUGCAACAGAUCCAUACCAAAAAAAGAAACAGAUUGGAGCAUCAAAGAUUGAAUGAUCUAGUGUUUGUUAAGUAUAAUCGUGCUUUAAAAGCUCGUUAUGACUUGCGGAGUGUCAUUGAUCCAAUCUCGUUGGAUAACAUUGAUCAUAGUAAUGAAUGGUUGGUUGGGAAGAUGGGUAUUAAUAUGGAAGCAGAAGAUGAAUUGGUGUUUGGUGAUGACAACUUAACUUGGGGUGAUGUUUCAAGAGCGUCGGGCAGUGAGGAUGUGUUGGCAUACACAAGGCGACAAAAGAGACAGUCGGAAGUUAUUACAACUAAUGCCUCAAGUUCCCGAGCUCCACGUGUUGACAUAGAAGAUGAGGUUGAUUCAGAUGAGUCGGGGGAAGAAGAGAUUGAAGGCUAUAAAUCUAGUGAUACUGAUACCAAUGAGAAUCACCCUAUUGAGGAAGAUGAUAUGGAAGUAAUAUUAUUCUAGUGAUUAGAAAGAAGUAGAAUAUAUAAGCAACAUAUGUUUUUGAUAAACCAAUCUUCAUUAUAAGCACUAUAUAUUUACUAUUUUUGUGUCUAUUAUGUUCUAUAGUAUAUAUAUAUUUUAAAAAUCUUCAUAGUGCGCUUUUUUUAGUGAAGCCCACGCUUUUAGUGCGCUUUGCGCUUUAAGCUCUAUCAGGGCUUUAGCGCUUUUUUGCGCUUUUCGCUUUUGACAACACUGCACCAUACCAGACCUGUUUUACUCCUGUGAACUCUACCAAGUUUUGAUGUGAUGAUGGGGGUAAGGUGCGGUGUAGUGUAUUAGAUGUUUCCUCACUGCCGAUUUUUUAAGCUUUUGUUGUUGCCAGAACUAUGUAGUCAUUCAGGGAGGAUAUGGGAUGGUUAUGAAAAGGGGAAAGUAGACGGCAAAUCAAUUUAUAGUCUUGGUUUUAUUUCAAAAAUUCAUGUCCAGACUACUUGCUUGACUAAUACCUGCAUAACUAAUACCCGCAUAAGUAAUACCUGCAUAACUAAACCCUACAUAAGUAAUACGUGCAUAACUAAUACCCGCAUAACUCUAUCCAGCUACCAAACAACUAUGGAAAGAUCGAAGCAAUGAAAGCAGAGUGGUUGCUACUAGUAAUGUCUUGUCAUUGCAAACAAAUAAAGGCAGAUGGUCAUGUUAGUUUGCCACAACCCAUGGCUGCUUCCAUAUUAUCAUUACACAAUAGAGGACAAGCUUAAAGAAGUUGUAGUAGCUUAAGCUAUUAAAGAAUCCAAUGGUUCAUAAAGAACUAAUGGGGUGGUGGGUUAAAGAAUGUACAUUUUGGGAAUUUUUGUUCUGGAUGGUGAUCAAACACCUUCAGCAUCACUUCCUGCAACAUGAGUAUCAUGACUAGCCCAGUAAUGGCUUCCAUCAGGGCCACAAAUCUUAAACCUGUUGAGUAUAAAAGAAAGUACCUCAGUGAGGACUUAUGAUAUGUUCCUAACUCAAUUCUAAAGAAAACUGAAGUAAUCAACUGACCGCUCAAGCACUGAUUUUCCUUCUUUGUACUUUUGGCUCUUCUCAUGGGCGGUCUCCUGAAAAGAAUUGCUAUAUUAGGAACAACUAAAACUUCUAGCAACUGCCAAACGACAAUGUCUAGCAUUUUAUCACUCCAUACUCACAUAUUUCCAUCCAACAAUUGACCCACAACAGACGCAGAAAAUGUCUGCCACAGUGUGCAUACCAGUCAUCAUCAUUCUAUUUUCUAUCUCGCCAGAAGUGACAUUCGCCCUGUCAAAAGAAACAAAAAAGGAGUAUAGAAUAUACAGAACUACAAAGAAAAAAAGGCGUAUAGAAUAUACAGAACUACAAAGUGCAUUAUCAUUUUGUAUGUUUCUACUAAAUGAUAAAAUGAAAUGAAGAGAUUUGAGAAGAGCAGAACUCUUGAACAGGAAAGCAAUCAAGUUGAGCAUAAUAUAUGUAUUUCAGCCAUGUAACUAUUGUAAUGCUGCUACCAAGUGGAAAAUAACCCAAGUCAAGUAAGAAUUUAUUCCAUAUAUUGAUGUGUUAAUAUUUGUACUCCUGGAAAAUACACUCAAAAGUACACGAUAUAAUAGUCUGGUAAAAUCCCCACUAGGUUCUAUAGUGAUUCCAAUAGAUCAAAUUCUGGUGCUAAUUUUAUAGUCAAUGACACAAAUGUAUGAAGAUAUACAUAUAAAGUACCAUGUCUUUAACAAACUAAACCUAAAAGGUAUAGCCUACCUUGUUCAACUUUUCAUGUGCACUCAAACAUUCUAGGUUGGUUAUGAGUUAUGACCUUCCAUAAUAAUAAUGACUCAGAGCUAAUAACAAAAUCAAAGAUCCUGAGGGCAAUGUCAAUGAAACAAAUGUAUGAAGAUAUAAAUAUACAGUACCAUGCCUUUAACAAACUGAACCUACAGGGUAUAGCCUGCCUUGUACACAACUUUUCAUGUGCUCUCAAAUAUUCUAGGUUGGUUGUGACCUUCCAUAAUAAUAAUGACUCGGAGCUAAUAACAAAAUCAAAGAUCCUGAGGGCAAUGUCAAUGAAACAAAUGUAUGAAGAUAUAAAUAUACAGUACCAUGCCUUUAACAAACUGAACCUACAGGGUAUAGCCUGCCUUGUACACAACUUUUCAUGUGCUCUCAAAUAUUCUAGGUUGGUUGUGACCUUCCAUAAUAAUAAUGACUCGGAGCUAAUAACAAAAUCAAAGAUCCUGAGGGCAAUGUCAAUGAAACAAAUGUAUGAAGAUAUAAAUAUACAGUACCAUGCCUUUAACAAACUGAACCUACAGGGUAUAGCCUGCCUUGUACACAACUUUUCAUGUGCUCUCAAAUAUUCUAGGUUGGUUGUGACCUUCCAUAAUAAUAAUGACUCGGAGCUAAUAACAAAAUCAAAGAUCCUGAGAGCUAUCUGACCCACAUAGAGUAAAAGCCAAAUAAUUUGCACAUACUCCAGUUGCACUCAACUUUUGAAAAACAAAUCUUUUUUCAUGAAAAUCAUGAAAAUUUUGGCUAACUACUACCAACAUGAAUUCUUCAAUACUUCAUCUUUUUUCACUUUUUAGUUUAACAGUGUCCUCCACACCAAUAAAAAAAGGGGUGGAAGUCAAAUAAGAGGAUUUAUAUGGUAGCUUUUUUCAUCUUUCUGUACCAGAGGUAUGGAUAAGCUUGACCGUAGUAAUAUCAUUGUUCAUCUAACCAAGCUACAAAUGACUCAUGUCCCAUCGAUGCCAAGAAAAGCUUAACAACAAUCAGAGGAAAUAAAUGGUACUUCAUACUCUAACAAGAAUAAAACCAACAGAAGUUGUAAGUUGCACUUGUGAUUUUCAUGCUGCAAGUUUAAAGAUUGGACAUGUGAAAAUGUCACAAACAUAUCUGAUGAUUGAAUGUGCAGAAUCAAAGAGACUUACACUUUACUGAAGAGAUAAGCCUUCCCAUGUCUGCAGUGGAAAGACUGAAGGAAAGAUCAGAAGGAAAACAUAGAGUUAGAUAACUUCAUAACUCAGAAUGACUACAUACAUUAUUUAGGGGAUGAAACAACAUUAAACUUCAAUAUAAUUAAUUGCAGAAUCAAUAUUUUACUCCAUAAAAAAGCAUUUGAAUUUUCUAAGAAACAUUAGUUUCAAAGCACCAACACUUGAAAAUGUGCUCUGAUUCUAUGCUAUAGAAGUCAUAUUGAAUUUUUCAUAGGACAGACUGACCUACAAAGUCAACUUAUAUAAUAAAGAAAGUCAUGAAUGCACAUUACAAUGAAAUUGACCAAAAUAAAGUGACUAAACAAGCACCAAAUUGAUCAAAAUAUAGAAAAUAGAGCACACAGACAUGGAACAAAUGGAAAAUGCCAAUCAAGUAUACUCCAAGUAUCAGACUCAACAAACAACUCCUCUAAUUCAUAACUGGAUUAAGCAGGAAUAUUGUAUGGUAUGUUAUCAGCAAUAAUAACUACUAUUUUUUAAAAAGUUCACAAAGAAUGCUCAUACAAUCCCUUUUACUCCAAAACCAGCAACUCCACAAAACCCAGCUCUUUGAUGCUAAAAAAUACAUCUCCUUUAGGGCAAAAUUACUCAAUCUGAGACCUUCUUCACUCACAUAGCUGAUUUAAAGUAGCCAAUUUUUAUAUACAUCUAAAAUUACUUAAAAAGACCAACAACAAUCCCUAACAAGUUUUAUAAACGAAACCGAAACCACCGAUCAAGCCAAAGAUUGUAUUUUUACAACGAAAUAAAUCUAAAUCAAAAUUUAAAAAAUCUCAAUUUCAAGAAAUCACAAUAACAGAAUGAUCAAACAGAAAUGAUGGAGGAAAACCUUGGAAACAAUGUUUUCAGAAAGGGCAAGAUGAGUUCCACAGUGCUUGCAGCUGUAGAUCUUGCCUUCAAGAGUCAACACAAAUAAUCUCCCCAUCAAAGAUUUUUGAGAUCACAAGAAAAUUGAAGAACGAAAAUGGAAAAGGACUUAUCCAAAAAGGGGUAAUAGUUUUUGUUUCGGCUGGAAGAUAGUAAGUAACGUCAAGGAAGGGAAAGGAUUCAAUGUGUGGGGGACUCUUUGAAUAAUUUAAUGUUUUGUUAAAGAACUUUAUUCUUGUUUUCUUUCUUUUAUAAUUACUUUAAGUAAUAAAAAUGUAGAAAAUAAUUUUUUCUUCUUACUCUCAUUUUAUUAAUUAAAAUAGAAUAAUUUCAUAUCUCUUUUAACGGAUAAUGUAUGUCAUAAUAUAUGUCAUAUUUAUAAGAUUAUAGUAAAUACACGAUUAAUUUUUAUUUAUAUAAGGAUAAAAUAAUUAUAAUAAGAUAGGAAUUUUCUUGUUUUUUUCCGAAUUGAAGUAGGAUUAAUAUCUGUUAAUUAAAAAAUAUUAUUAGAAAAAGAAUGUGUUAAAAAGAAAAUAAAUAAUAUAAUUAUUUGAAAAGGGUUUUUGACCUAUUAAGUAACAAUAAAGAUAUUUUUCGAUCAAAGUAUUAACUGCAAAACAUUUUUAGGCCAAACCAUAAAUGGAAGAUAUUUUUGUUCAUUUCACAUAGUUUAAGGACAUUUUUAACCCUUUUUCGUUUGGAAGAUAUUUUUUAGAGUAAAUUUUAGAUUUAGCAAACAUAAAAAACAUAUUAGCGCUCUAUAGCUACAGUUUUGUUAUUUGAGAUCCAUAGCAAAAUGGAGCAUCAAAUUUGUAUAAAUCACAGGCGAGCACCUUGUUUGUAUGAAACAACAGCAAUUGUAUAUGUAUAUCGGUUAGAUAAUUGUAUAUAUGUAACUACUAUGUAUAUGUAUUAAUGAUUGUGUUUGUAUAUCUGCAUAAAAUUUGAAUUUGUAUACAAUUGAAUCGAAAUAAAACAUUUGUAUAUCAAAUCUCUCUCUCGUUUUAUACAACACAAACUAUACAUUAUAAUUUGUAUAAUUUGUGUUUGUAUAAAACAAGAAAGAGAGAAAGGCAAAAAAGAACUGGUAGGGGAAGAUCUGCAUUUGUAUAAUUAUAAGUGUAUAGAACGAAAUAUAUGUAUUUGUAUAUACUAUUUUUCUACUCGCUUAGUACUUCCUCAGUGUAUUUGGUUCCCUCAAGAUCUUCUUGCUGUUGUGAGCAACAAAUGAUAGGUGUCCUUCUUUUGCCUUAUGUCUGGUGAUCAUAUGAUGCCCUUGUGGUGCAAGAUGUACAUCAACUGAAGUAGUUGAUUGUAGUGUAGUAUCUUUAUGUUGAUGAUGAGUAAGCAUAUUCCACUUGGAGAAGCCAACUUCUAAAUGUAUUCUUUGUGAAUUAGACACAGAGAAAGUGGGAUUUGAUAAAUCACCAUUGACUAGACCUGCAUGUUCAACAUGUUCCCUACUGCCACUAGCAGAUCCUAAAUCUGCAAUUGGAGCCUUAUCAAUCUAGGUUUCAUUACCUAUGUGUGUAUCAUCACUUUGACCUAUUUCUCAUGAUCAUCAUUUGAUCCUUCAACUGAGGAGUCAAUAACACUCUCAUCAUCAAUGAGUAUAUGGGUUAUUGUAGUAGCAUUUUCACCAGUAACUUGUGUACUAUCAGUUGUACUUACCAUGAAUUAUGAUUAUCAUGUGCUUACAAUUUAGAGCAAGAUUCAACAAAAGUAGCAUAGGUGAGAUAUCAAUGUUAGUCUGAGAUUGAUUUGGAGACACAUAGGGUAAUGGGUUUUUAUCAAACACAUGUCUGGAUACAUACAACCUCCUUGUAGGGGGAUGAUAACAUUUAUAUCCUUUGUGUAAGCUGUUGUACCCUAUGAAUACACAAGGGUAAGUCUUUGGACUGAAUUUGUUGCUACCCUUGAUAUAUGAAAAACAUCUACACCUAAACACUUUUAGGCUAUUGUAAUCAGGUUUCUCUCCAAACAACGUAGCAAAUGAAGUCAUUAUUUUUAGGAAUGAGGAGGGCAAUCUAAUAAUGAGGAACAUUGUAGUGAGGUAAGUCUUAACUCAUAGAAACAAAGGUAGGUUAGCAUGAAGUAGUAGAGUUAAGACAGACUCCACAAUAUGCCUAUGUUUUCUUUCUGAAACUCCAUUUUGUUCAGGUGUGUUAGGACAUGAAAUAUGCCUCACAAUGCUACAAUCUUCCAAAUACUUGAUGAAGUCUGUUUUUGAUAAACUCACCACCUCCAUCACACUGAAAUAUCUUAAUUUCCUUAGAAAAUUAUUUUUUCACCAUCUUCUCGAAUUUUACAAAGACUUCAAAAUAUUCAGAUAUCAUUUUCGAUAGAUAAAUCCAUCUAUAUCUUAUGUGAUCAUCUAUGAAACCAACAAAAUAUUUCAUAUGUUGAGAAGAUUCAACGAGAGCAGGUCCCCACAAGUCAUAAUGAAUUUUCGAUAAAGGUUCCUUCUCAAUUUAAUUUCCCAAACCAAAUGAAAGUUUACAACUCUUGCCCAACUGGCAACUAGAACAAACAGUAGAUAUUUUAUUCCAACUACUAACAUAGAUGUAGUUAUUACUACUCAAAACUUUUAAAGAUUUCAAAUUAGCUUGUCCUAAUCUAAUAUGCCACAUGUUGUUUGAUGUGUUCCAAUCAUGUGCAACAGUUUAACAAAGAGACUGUUAUCUUCCAAAGCAUAGAGUACAUAUCCCUUGACCAGUAGUGACCUUGUCUUCUUGUCCUUUACAACAAAGUUAGUUUCAUCAAAUUCAAAAGUGCAACAAUUAUCCUUUCCAAGUUUACUAAUUGAUAGUAGAUUUUUAUUUAUCUUAGGAACUACAAGAACUUCUCUUAACUUUAGGCAUGAUCUUGGUAUGUUCUCAACAUGUGUUAUGUCUAACUUUGAUCCAUUCCCAAUAAUGAUUUUAUCUGGUCCAUUAUAGUGUUUAAGACCAGUUUGAAUACUUGAGUUAUAUGUCAUAUGACUACUUGCUCUUGAGUCCACAUACAAGGUGUCAUUGGUAGUGUUUUGUAGACUAAUAGCAGUUAAUGCUUGUGGUAGCUUAUCUGCAGCUUGGCAAGAGUAGUCCCACAUAUAGAAACACUUAAGAGUAGUAUGGUUAUUCCUACCACAAAUUUUGCACUAGUCAAUAUUGUUUCCCUCUUGACUUUCACUUGAAGGACUGUUCUGAGAACCUGGUCCAUAUCUGUUAUAAGAACUUGUUCCUUAUCCAGCAGGCUUAAAGCUUUUUCCUCUGAAAUUGAAGUUAUUAUUUUCUCUUCUUUGAGAGUAGUUUCCUCUUCCCCCUGCCCCUUUGGGCAGAGAAUGCCACGUUAUGAUUUUGUUGUGGCACUUCUUUUCCAUCCUCCCUCAUAUCAAAAUCCCUGAGAGCAUUAACAAAUUGAUUAAGAGUGAGAUAUGGUGUCUUACCUAGCAUGAAAGUCUUGAAGGUCUUGUACUUGAGACCUAAACUUCUAGCAAAAUUAAUUACUUUUUUAUCUUCAUACAUAGGCUUGUGAAUGGUUGUAAGGCCAUCACAUAUGCCUUUGAAUUCCUUAAUAUAUUAAUCAAUCUUUUUGGUUCCUAACCUAACACUUUGCAGUUGUUGUUUGAGCUGGAACUCCUUAUCUUUCGUUGCUUCAAGAUAAGAUUCUUCCGAGCAUUCUCACAUCUCCUUGGCAGUUGAGCAACCUACAAUCAGGUACAUGCUUUCUUUUGUUAAGGAGUCUAAGAUCCAACUUUUUAGCAACACAUCCUUAUUUUCCCAAUCAUCAAUAUUGUUGUUGUCUUCUGCAUCCUUCUCAACUGCUACAACUUUCUCAAUAGUAUGUCCAAUGGAAUAGGUACUUUUAGUUGGUUCAUUCUUUGUGAUGAGAUAGGUUAAUCUCAUCACUUGAAUCAACUGAGACAUUUGUGUUCUCCAUAUAAGAUAAUUUGUUGGCUUGAGUUUAAUGGAACAAGACGCAAUAAGAUGGUGAAGUGAGGAGGUUGAUAGGGUGUUGGUAGAAGAGGCUAUUGCAAUUUGAUAUUGUGGUUAUUCUACUUUUUGGAUCUAACACGUUAAAGAGCAAAAUAUUUUAAUGCUCUGAUACCAUGUAGAAUUCUUACGUAAAGCAUAGAGAAAUCAAGGAUUGUGUUGAUAAUUAAAAUUGUUGAGUACAUGCUCCUAAUAUAGGAGAAAAGCCCUACACUAGCUACACUAGGAGUCCUACUACAAUACAAAUAUAUUAUUUACAUGAAUAAUAUUACUACUAUAACUAAAACACCUUAUCCUAGUUGACUUUAGCCCCAUACACAAUACAUCAGCUUAGUCAUACAUAAGUUAGGAUUUAGUAGUCUAGUCUUAGUGUGACUUUAACUCUACAGCAGUAAACACGUUAGUCUGCUUCCUUAAACCUAUUUCUUUGACAUGUUCCAAUCAUUAACUUCCUUCAUCUUCAACAUAUUACACCAACAUUCCCUAUUAUUGUUCGAUUCUAUGAGAUAUACUCCGAGACAAUUAAAAUUAUUUCUUAUCUUCUCAUUUUUAUUAUGUAGUAUCUCUUUUUCUAAUUUAAAAAAAAGUAUGGUCAUUGACCAUUUUUAUUAAAUAAAAGGAGUUAUUAUGAUAUAAACAACUUACAAUUUUCUAAAGCAUCAAGCAUGCACUGAACGGCUAAAGUGAAAAUAUAAAGUAUUUCGAGAAGUCAAACCUUUUAUUUUGUGACGAUAUCAGUUGUGUAAGUCUUUCUUUUUUUUGUAUAGACAUAAUAAAGUUCUUGUUGUGGAACGUUAGUUCAACAUAUGGUGUGAAAAUUUACUCGAAAAUAUUCAAUGAUGUCAGAAAAAUUGGUCAAUUAUGAAGUCAGCUCAAUGCGCUUUGAUCUUCUUAUUCUUUUUUUGUUAGGGACAGAUAUUCUCUUGUUUAUAAGCGAAUAAUCAAAAGGACGAACACGACUAAUAAAACUUGUACUUUAUGCUGGAGAUAUAGUGGGACAAACAAGGGUAAUUCAAUCAUCAUAAAUUUACUUUAUUGUAAUGUACGUGUCUCUCCAAAUGACUGUAGAACUUCCACUGCUUUUCUAUUCCCAUUCCAUCAAAGCAACAAGCAGAAGAGUAAUUUCAUUUCUCACAAUAUCAUCUAAACCCUUUCUCAACAAGCUCUUCUCUCAACUCUCAAGAAUCUGCAUCUCAGCCUCUUGCAGCUCCAUCUAUGUGAAACUGGUGGAUUUUCCCCCUUCUUUUCCGAUCUCUUUUUCCCCUUUUUCCUGUUGUUACUUUCAUAGUUUUUAUGUUUUUAUUGUGGCUAGAUUUUUGUUUUUAUGGUAAGUUCUUCUCCCUUCUUCCUUUUUUCCCCUACUAAUCUGAAUGUAUAAAUAUAGAAAUAAGAAAUAAAUUGAUGCAAUAAAUUGGUUCAAUUUUAAAGAAUAACAAAGACAUAUUUUGUAAUUUGUAUCUGACAAAUAUAGAUGCAAUAAAUUUUUAAUUUGAAUGUAUAAUACUUGCAUGUGGAUAUUCGAGAACUUUUAACCAAGUUCUCAGCUUCUGCUCAUUUUUCAAUCAAUCGUGUGUUCAAAGUUCUGAGUGCGCUUUGGUUUUAUAGGUUUCAUCAUUGCUCAAAUUAAAUUCUUCUUUUCUCCUUUUUAUUUCUUAGUUUGAGUUACAUGUCAAUAUUUUCCUUUGCCUCUACUGUAUCGAGAGUGUUUGAUAGUAUGCCUACAUUAACUUUUUCCCUUUCAAUAGAAAUUUCUAAUCAAAAUUUAUGUUUAUUGCACUUGGGAAAUUUUGAUCUUCUCUGUUUAAAAGUUUGUCCUUUCUUUUUUCUUAUUUGUUGGUGAAAUCUUUCGCAACUUAUUGUGCCUCUUUUGUUGUUAAUCACCUUUUUGUGGGUAAAACUUUUUGCAAUCCAGCUCCAUAUUGGUAUGUGGGUUACAAUUAUGUUGCAUGUAUUGAUUAAGAAUUUCUCUUCACUAUUUGUCCGUCACCUUUUCCUCCUUUUGAGAUGCCAUCCUUUUCAAUUUCAAGUAAAUACGUUAUGAUUUUUGAUACGCUCAAAUUACACCUCCUUUCAGAAGCAUAAGCGAUCGUUAUCAAGUAAAGAACCCAACUUGUAGGUUGGGAUCGAUCCCACGAGGAAAAUGGUUUAGACUUUACUUUUAACCAACAAUUAUAUUCAAUUAGUCAAAUUAUUUCCAGAAACAGGUAAUAAAAAAGGGGGGUUGUGCUUGUGUAAAACAAAUAGUAAGACUUAAUAUUGUAAUCAAUAAUUAAAUUCAACUUUGGUUGUUAUCAAGUUAGGAGAAAUAACUAGGGUACACGUGUUCCCCAUAAUCUCAUAACGCAGUAAUCCUAGCAAUAGCAAUCCUUUUCUAGUAUAUUACAUGCAAAGUGAUAAGUUAGGUAUCUCUAAAUCCUUGGUCCGGCAUCUAGAGAAUUUCACCCCGCACCUUGGUCCGGCUACGUGUGUAUAAUUUACUAACCCUUACCUUUACCUCAUAUUAGACAUCAUAAUCGAUGUUUGGCUUAGUUAUUACUUCGCACCAAUCGACACUAGCCUAUUAGAUAGUAUCACACUAAAUCUAUGUUGAUAAUUCUUUUCUUGUUAAUUACCUCCUUGGUCCGGCAAGUAGUAACAAGGCGAGUUCUAACGUUGGCCACCGUUAAAAAGACUUCUAAACGAAAGAAUUAUCAAUGCAUGCAAAACACUAUUCAAGAAUUACUUAUUUACUAUUCAUACUUUGUUAAUCGAUCAUGGUUCCCACAACCCUAGUUGUGAAUUUAGUUACUCAUAUUGGCAAGAACACAAUUCAUAAUUGUAGAGGGAGAAAUCAUGAACUUACGUAAAGAUAAUAACAAACCCGGAAAUUUAACUUGAAUUGCAAAGCCAAAAUCUUCAAAACAAACUUAGGAAAUCAAUAAUUGUUAGGUUUUCCAAUUAAUCUCCCAAGUCACAAAGUAAAACUAGAAUAAUAAUGUCUAACCCCCAAAAACGAGGUUUAAAUGCCCUAUUUANNNNNNNNNNNNNNNNNNNNNNNNNNNNNNNNNNNNNNNNNNNNNNNNNNNNNNNNNNNNNNNNNNNNNNNNNNNNNNNNNNNNNNNNNNNNNNNNNNNNNNNNNNNNNNNNNNNNNNNNNNNNNNNNNNNNNNNNNNNNNNNNNNNNNNNNNNNNNNNNNNNNNNNNNNNNNNNNNNNNNNNNNNNNNNNNNNNNNNNNGUAGAUCAGUCUACGGACCGUCAAUGGGCGUCGUGGUUCCACACUUGGUCAGAUUUCCCUGAUUUAUCCUCACUAUCAUGCCUGCUGAUCUACGGUCAUAACCUACGGACCGUGGAUGGAUCUACGGUCCGUAGAUCACCUCCGUGGAUGUCCCUUUUCUGCAAUUGCUUCAGCUGUCUCUACACAUCCGCACCUGAACGUCUUUCCUGCAAAACAUGGUAAAAACACAUCAAAACCAAUAUAAAAAGGCCUUAGACACACACAACUAGUAAGUGAAACGUAUUAGAAAUACCGUAAACUCAUGGUAUAUCAAUUUUCCCCACAAAAAUGCUUAAUACACUUUGCAUAGUCAAUUCACUCUAACUUUGUCUAUGAACACAUGCCCUUUUUUCCUUCUUGCAGUAACUAUUCAAGUAUAAUUGUGUUGUAUGCAUACAUUGCCAUUAUCGAUCGAGACCUUAGACAUUGACAAAAGGAUUUGAUGUAUGUUUAGAAAAUAUAUACAACACUUUGUUUUUGAUUGCGUAAGAAGUAAAAACAUUGUAAGAACUUGGACAUUAACAAAAGAAUGUGCAUCUUAGUUUAAUUAGAUGUCACAAAUUGAAGAGAACUCUAAUUGGUGUGGUUCUUUAACUCUUCCUGCCCAUAUUAUUGUCAAGAUAUCUUGGUGGACGCAUGUUACUAAGAUUUAAUAUCGACCGAAUAACGAUUAACACUCUUGAUUGGAUUUGCAGAGUCCAAAUUGUGGACAUGAGUCGAGAGCGAGAAAGUCUGGAGAAGAAAAUGAGAUUUCAUAUUUUGAUUUUGGAAGACGAAGAGGUAUUUUUACCUAUAGUAAUAUCAUCUAAUUUUUCUUCACAUAAUUAUAUUACUUGCCUAUAGCUCAAAAAGCUAUUAAACUUUACAUGAGCAACAAAUUAGGUAGUUUUGUAUGGGGAUGAUAUUAGGCGUUAUGCAAAUAAGCUUACACUCUUUAAGACAUAUCUGAUCCUAGCUGUAAAAGUAAAAGUUUCACCAACUUCAAUCAAAAGAUUAACACAUAGAUUUUAUUGGAUACUUAACAAAGAAAUUAUAGUUGAACAUGUCAAACUAACCGACAAGCUUGAGAAACCCCUGUUAUCGUCGAUCAAGCUAUCUAUCACAAUUUUUUACAGUAUUUUUCAUAUGACUUCUGAUUAUGUUGCAGAAAUUGGUGCACUGCCCCUACAAACUAUUAGUUGCCUAAAAUUUAAAUUUUUAUCUAUGUACAGACUAAUUAUAUUUCCUUAUUUCACAUUAGCUUUUUCUCAUCAGAUAUUUUAAAUUUUACAAAUGUCUACUUUUGUUUUCAGCACCAACUCCUACGUAUUGACCAUGUCUAACAGAUAUUGUCAAAUAGACUAUUCCACAUUCAUCUGAGGAAGUCUUCCUGGAUAAGCUCUAGCGUCACUAAAAAAAUUAUAACAGUUCUAUCCUACACAAAAUUAGAACAGGUUUUUCAGCGUAGCAUUAAUGUGAGGAACGCUAAAACGCUGAUGUCACUCAACACAAGCAAGGUGGAGAUGAAACCAUCAUUUAUUGAAUCUAAAUCUUCAAGCGUCGGGCUGUCAGUUGAAUCACCGACGCCAAUAAAAAAGCUGUAAAAUGUGAGUCGUUUAGUGAUCCUUUAAUUUUUCCAAUGCACAUGAUUCCCGAAUAGAUUUAUGUAUCUUACAAGUAGACAUGCAUCUAUUCUUGGAAGACAAGCAUUAUUAUGCAGUUAAGUUUGGUCGGAAUAAGUUUUGUUCCCUCAUUUUUUUUAUAGUUUUAUAGUUAUUGACCUUUUGAAUCUGCCUCAAAUGACAUCCUCUUAUUCAUAUGUUAAUUACGAAAGAAUAUAUACUAAUUAAUUAAUAAUCUUUCUAUUCCUUUUUGUCUACUGGUAGAUAAGUAAUCAAUGUCUCAUUCUCUAUUAGAUUAAUUUCCUAUGUAUUUCUCCAGUAAAUCUCACUAGAAUUGUCACUCUUACGAUUGUCAUUUUUUAUCAUUUAGUUGAAAAUAUGAUUUUAUUUUUUUCCAUCAAAAUAUCCAUAACUUUAUUAGCUAAUAAUGCAUCAGAUAGUGUUGUAGUUUUCCGUGUCAGUCACGUGUUAUUGUUGAAUUUUGCUGAUCAUAUAUGUAUUUAACACAUACAAUUGUAGGUUCAUUCUCGCAUUUUAUUUUUGCUCUAAAGUUCUUUUUCAUCUAUAUUAGAUUGAAAAUUUGUGAAUGAAAUUUGUAAACGUCAGCAUUGUAGUAUUCUUAUUGAGAUUGUUGUGAAUGGACAAUAUUUCUUGGUGCUCGAGAUCAACAUCGGAUUAAGUGGCUACAUUUAAAAUUUAGGUUGAUAAAUAGCAAACAAUGAGAGAAAAAUAGGUUUAUGUGAAUUAUGUCGCAACUUUCAAAAAUUUGUUAUCCCCUAACUCCACUUCUACCCUUACAGUCCUGGAUGUUUGAAUACUGUCUAAUUGCAUGAAGUAUCUUCCUUAUUUUGAUGUUGCUGGAAAAUAAUAGUCUUUUUGGAUUCUCAAUAUCUACAACUUCACUUGGUAUGAAUGUCACGCUUCAAGCCUACACCCUGGGCGGAACUGGCACUCGAGAACCAUUGUUGGCCCCAAGCGAACCAUUGACCUGGCUUACUACUCGGCGGAAGACUUUACUCAACAAAGAUAAGCUCAAUAAACUAGAAUGUUAUAAAAGAAAACAUUCAACUAGCCAAUAAGGCAAAUCAAGUCUUAUAAUCAACACAACUGAAAUACGAAGACUAAUGAACUAAUAACUAACAGUCUAUGAAGCCUCUAAUAACUUAGAUGGACGUCGGGACAAGACCCACGACAUCCUAAUAAACUAUAAUAAUAAUAAUAAUAAUAAUAAUAAUAAUAAAGCAACUAAAAAGGGAUCCUCCGAAAGCAAGGAAGAUCACCAACAACUCUGAAGCUCAACUGGAUCAACGAAACGUUGGAUGGUGAUCUUGAUUACCUGUAUCUGCAUCAUAAAACAAUGCAAGCCAAAUGACUUCAGUACAUUGAAUGUACGAGCAUGUGAGGGGAAUUCUAAAACAAGACAUAAGCUUGAAAAUGGAACUGAAGAAACUUACCUUGUCUCAACUCAACUCAACUCAACUUAUUUCAAUAUAAAGUAGUAAUAAGAAUACAGUAUAAAGAAAAUCUUUAAAACAUGUAAAUAACAACUCAGUGUAUUCAGAAAGCAUAAUAGUAUAAUUUUGUAUAUGAAAAUACAAGUAUCUCUAUGGGAGAUUCCCUAACCAAUAACCAUCACUAUGAGUUAUGUGAUGAUACAUUGUAUUGUCGCACGCUGCCAGGGCCGUCCUAUACUUUGUUGAGGUAUAGAAUCUACUCACUAAGUGGAUCCACUAGUCUAUGCUAAAAGCAUUAAGGAAUCAUCUAAAAUGUAUAACCUUUUUCUACCUAUGUUGGCUACACGGUUUAUGGAGACUUUGAAUUAACUGAACUCAAACUCGUCCCCAAUUCGGUGCUCAGUACUACACCCAAAAUGUAACUAGCUCAUAUGUUUAAAAACACAACUCUUUCUGUGGUUUGAGAUUAUUACUCAAAAACUAGCUCAAAAGCUCUCUUGGAAAGCAAUGUUUCCUCUCUUGUUUAAAUGUGAAAACAUUUACUCUUUGGGAAUACUUAGUUCCCAUAUAAUCUUUUGAAGAAAUGAACUUCACUCUUACUCUUACUCAACUCAAUGCUCAAGUCUUUAAAACAAGUUUAAAACAUUUGUAAAAGACUUUUGAAAAGACUCUAAGAACUCUCUAGACUUGGCUCUUAAAUUUCCUUGAAUUUGAAUUUAUGGAUUCAAGGUUAUGAUUCAUGUUUAUGGAUAAUUUCUAGUCGUUUAGAGUAGUUAGAAUCGAUGGGAAGUUAGAGGACACUUUAAGAGAACUUAGAUGGGCUAAACGAUGAAAAACGGGUUGGGGCAGACGUCCCGGGCGCAUUGCUGGCGCGGGACGCUAGGCCCAAAGUUCUAGGACUCAAAUCUGGCGCGCCGCCCCAGCCCCUCCUCAAGUGGUUCCGACAAAUUUUUCAACUCAUUUUUUUAUCUUAAUUCGAUUAAAUUCGAUUCUUUUUCUCAAUUUCUCUUUAGAUUCAGAUACCAAAAACAAGUACACAUAAAUCUACUCAAAACAACUCUAAAAAUCGAUACGAUUACCUCAAGAAACUCAUCAAUCCCAUCCUAACUCAAGAACGAAAGCCAAUUUCAAGAGCACAAUUCAAGAUCAUCAAACUUUCAAAUUUCUAGAACGAAUUUCGCUUAAAUAAACAUGAAUAACACGUGGGUGAAUGAACCCAAUGCUAUGAAAGUCUCACAUACCUCUUAGAGAUUAAACCCUUGGCGAAAUCCGCAACCAAAUCUCAAGAACUUGAUGAAAUCUUGACCUUUCUCCUCUUUUCUCCUCUUGAACUCUUUUCUAAAAACCCUAGCAUGAAUUGUAAUUGCGUAAACUGAACCAAUUCAGUUUAGACCCCUUACUAAAAAUUAAUUAAAUCUGAUAGGAUAAGGAAAAGACUAAAAUACCCCUCUUAAAUUCGGGUAACUUUUCUUAAAUAGAUAGUUCAACUUUAAACGAGCAUAUCUCCCUCAUACGAGCUCAAAAAUUAGCAAACUCGGUGGUGUUGGAAAGAUAAUUCCAAGACCUUUCAUUUGAUACCUGGUAGCCCACCUAACUAAUUUUGUACUAAGAGUUUUGAUUGUUUAAAGUUGACCCAAAACUCAUACUUAGCAUAACUUGCCAAAAUUUCCAAAUUUGAUCUUUCCAAAAAUAGUUUCUUUCUAAUUCUAGUUCUUUCAAAUAGCAAGGUGUUACAAUAUCUCUCCCUUGGGAAUAUUCGUCCUCGAAUGAGAUUACUCUAAGUAGACUAAGGGUGUAACAUUUAACAUGAAGCUCAAACACCUAACAAGAAAAAUAUAAAUACAACAUAUCUACUUAAAAAAAUGCCAAGAAAAGGAUUAGUACCUUAAUUUGGAAUUUCUUCGGAAUCGAAGAGAAGUGGGUAUCUCUUCUUCAUAUACUCCUCAGCUUCCCAAAUAGCUUCAUCAACAUAUUGAUUCAUCCACAGAACCUUGACUGAUGCUACCCUAGAAUCUGAACGAGAAUCUCCUCAUAAGAUAAGCUAUCUUCAAUACUAAUAUCUUCGAUAGGUAUGAUAAGUGAAAGAUCGCCAAUGCACUUCUUCAACAUGGAAAUGUGAAACAUUGGAUGAACUGCUGCUAACUCUUGCGGUAGCUCCAACUCAUAAGUUAAAUUACCAAUCCUCUUGGAUAUCCUGUAAGGACCAAUAUAUCGGGGACUAAGUUUCCCCUUCUUACCAAAUCUCAUAACACCCUUCAUGGGUGAAACCUUCAAGUAUAUCCAAUCAUCUACUUCAAACUCUAGGUCUCUUCUCCUAACAUUAGUGUAGGAUUUCUGACGACUCUGCGUUAUUUUUAAUCUCUCUUGAAUGACCUUCACUUUCUCCAUAGCUUGAUGAACUAAAUCCGGUCCUAUCAACCCAGCUUCACCAACCUCAAACCACCCGAUAGGAGAUCCGCAUCUUAUCCCAUAAAGAGCCUCAUACGGAGCCAUUUGGAUGCUCGAGUGAUAACUAUUGUUAUAAGAAAAAUCUAUGAGAGGUAGGUGAUCAUCCCAAUUACCUUUGAAAUCAAUCACACAAGCCAUCAAUAUAUCUUAUAAAGUGUAUAUAGUGUACUCUACUUGACCAUCAAUAUGAGGAUGAAAAGCAGUACUCAAGUUCACCUUUGAACCCAAACCUUUCUGGAAUGACUUCCAAAAUUGCACAGUAAAUUGUGCACCCCUAUCUGAAUUAAUGAACACCAGAACUCCAUGAAGUCUGACUACCUCUUGAAUCUAUAACUUAGCAUAAUCCUAUGCUGAAUCGGUAGUUUUUACCAACAAAAAGUGGGUUGAUUUAGUCAUUCGAUCUACAAUCACCAAAAUCGAAUGAUGUUGUCUGCGAGACCGUGGUAAACCUGUAAUAAAGUUCAUAUUGAUCAUCUCCCACUUCCAUUCCGAAAGUUCUAUAUUCUGAGCCAUACCACCGGGCCUCUGGUGCUCUACCUUGACUUGUUGGCAAUUCAGACACUUAGCAACGAACUCUGCAAUGCCCUUUUUCAUACUACUCCACCAAUAAACCUCUCUCAAGUCACGACACAUCUUUGUGGAACCCGGAUGGAUAGAAUAUCUAGAGCUAUGAGCUUUCUCCAUGAUCCUCUCUUGGAGUUCAUCCACCUUUGGUACACACAAUCUACCUUGAUACCUCAAUACACCAUCUCCCCCUUGUUCGAAAACCAUCACUUUUUGCUUAUGAACAUUUGCCUUCAAUUCAAGAAAAAUAGGAUCUUGCUCUCGUUUCUCUUUAACUUCGGACACUAAUUAUGAUUCAGCCCUAUUCAUCACCACUACUCAUCAUUCAUUGAAAUCAAUUAAACGAACUCCUAAUCGUGCAAGUCUAUGCACAUCUUUUGCUAACUCUUUCUUGUCUUACUCAACAUAGGCAGUACUACCCAUAGACAAUCUUCUCAAGGCAUCAACAACAACAUUAGCCUUACCUGGGUGAUAGAGAAUACUCAUGUCAUAAUUCUUGAGUAACUCAAACCACCUCCUCUGUCUGAGAUUAAGCUCUUUCUGACUAAACAUAUACUGAAUGCUCUUGUGAUCGGUGAACACAUCGACAUGAACACCAUAAAGAUAAUGUCGGCAUAUUUUCAAAGCAAAUACUACAACAGCCAACUCUAGAUCACGGGUUGGGUAAUUCCUCUCGUGAACCUUAAGUUGUCUGGAGGCAUAAGUUAUGACCUUGCCAUUAUGUAUUAACACACAACCCAAACCGACUCUGGACGCAUCACAAUAUACCACAAAACCUUGCGUACCUUCUGGUAAGGUCAAUACUGGGGGCAGUAGUCAACCAUUUUUUCAAUUCCUGAAAACUUUUCUUACAAGCUUCAGACCAUUGAAACUUAACUAUUUUCUGAGUCAACUUAGUCAAAUGAGAUGAAAUAGAUGAGAACCCCUCGACGAACAUUCUAUAAUAGCCCACUAAUCCCAAGAAACUCCUAAUGUCGGUUAGAGACGUGGGUCUAGGCCAGUUCUGCACUGCCUCUAUCUUUUAAGUGUCAACUCGAAUUCCAUCACCGGAAACAUUAUGGCCUAAGAAUGCCACAAACUCAAGCCAAAAUUCACACUUAGAAAAUUUAGCAUACAACUCUCUAUCCUUGAGAGUUUGAAGAACUACUUUGAGAUGACUAGCAUGAUCCUCUUUAUUCCUCAAAUAGAUUAGAAUGUCAUCAAUGAAUACGAUAACAACCAUAUCUAAAUAAGGCUUGAAUACUCUGUUCAUAAGGUUUAUGAAUGUUGCAGGGGCAUUAGUCAAACCAAACGACAUGACCAAAAACUCAUAAUGACCGUAACGGGUCCUAAAAGUUGCCUUAGGGAUAUCACUUUCUCUUACUCUCAACUAAUGAUAGCCAGAUCUGAGGUCUAUCUUAGAAAAAUAAGUGGCACCUUGAAGUUGAUUGAAAAGAUCUUCAAUUCUUGGAAGAUGAUACUUUUUCUUGAUAGUAACCUUGUUCAACUGACGGUAAUCUAUACACAUUCUAAGAGAACCAUCUUUCUUUCUCACAAAUAAGACCGGAGCCCCCCAAGGUAAGACACUUGGUCAAAUAAAACCUUUCUCAAGGAUAUAUUUCAACUACUCUUUCAACUCUGCUGAUGCCAUUCUAUAUGGAGGAAUAGAUAUAAGAUGAGUAUCGGGAAGAAUAUCUAUACCAAAAUCUAUUUCUCUCUCAGGAGAGACUCCGGGAAGAUCAUCUGGAAAGACUGCUGGAAACUCACUAACAACUGAAACUGACUAAAUAUGUGGUGUCUCAACACUAGAGUCAUUAACUCGGACUAAGUGAUAGCUACACCCCUUGGAAACUAACUUUCUGGCCUUAAGGUACGAAAUGAAAUGACACUUAGGCACUGCUGAACUACUCAUCCACUCUAUAACUGGCUCAUUAGGAAACUGGAAGUUAACAACUCAAGUUCUACAAUCGACUGAGGCAUAAUAGGCAUGAAGCCAGUCCAUACCAAGAAUGAAUGACAUCAAAAUCUACCAUGUGUAACUCAACUAAAUCAGCCAUGGUGCUCUUGUGAUUGACGGACAUGGUACAAUCACGAUAGACUCUCUCAGCUAGAAUAAACUCACCAAUAAGUGUGGAAACACUGAAGGGCUUAAGAAGUUUCUCAGAAAAACAUCAAAAUUCAUCGCAACAUAUAGAGUCACAAAAGAUAGACUUGCUCCUGGAUCUAGUAAAGCAUAAACAUCAAAAUUAAAGACUUUGAUCAUACUAGUGACAACAUUUGACGAAUCCUCUUGUUGUUGGCGACUAGUAUUAGCAUACAGACGGUUCGCUCCUCCACCUGCCCCUGAAGUAGCUCCUCUAGAUGCAGCCUUGUCUGGUGGAGCAACUGAAGAAGAUUGGGUUUUAUUGCCCCCAUUACCAUUACCUUGCUUGUUCUUAUGGCACUCUUUCAUAAAAUGACUAUUCUGACCACACUUGAAACAACCAGUGGAGCCAUCACGACACACUCCUGAGUGGGUCCUACCACACUUAGCACAUGCAUGAGUCCCAUUACCUCUUUGUGCCACACUACCUUAAGACUACGCAGGUCUAACUCUAAAAUUUUGUGAAUUCUGAUUGUUGAACUGACCUAUGUUCCUUGGUGCAGGUGCACUAGCAGAUGAUGGAGCAAGUCCCUUUUGCUUAUGUUGGAAAGAAGACCGGUUCGCAUUACUCUUUUGCUGCCCGGACUCAUUUUCUUAUGUCUUAGCCUUCUUGUUUCUAAACUCUUCUGUAUCCCUUAGUUUGUCCUCCUCAACCUGUUACACAUGGAUCAUCAGCCUUGUUAUGUCCAUAUCGCCUAUCAGCAUAGCUUCCUCGCCUUCCUUACUUGACAGACGAGACAACCCAGUAACGAACAAACUCAUCCUACACUUCAUGUCAGCAACCAUUUCCGGAGCAUAGCGAGAAAGUUGGGUGAACUUCAGACUUUACUCAUGAACACUUAUCGAUUCCUGCUUAAAAGUGAUAAAUUUUCUUACCUUUGCCUCUCUUAGCUCACGGGGAAAGAAACUCCUCAUGAAGACACUUUCGAACACAGCCCAGCUCACAAUCGGUGCACCCUCAACUCUAGCCUUCUUCCAUUGGUCAAACCAGAUUCUAGCAACACUCUUCAGUUGAUAUGGAACUAGUUUCACUCUAUCAGCAUCAACAACAUGCAUAACCUUAAACACUUUCUGCAAUUCCUCUACAAAGUUUUUCGGAUCCUCAGUGAUGCUUGAACCAGUGAAGCUUGGAGGAUUCAUCCUUAAGAACUCACGGAUCCUUGAAGUAUCAGCCACUUCUUGUUGAUUCUCUCUCUACCUAACUUGAUUGGUCACUGCUUGACUUAACAUCCGGAUAGCUUUACGGAACUCAGCAUUGGUGACCUCUCUUUGGGGUCGCACUUUGUGCAUUAGGUACCCCUUGUUCCUCGACAUUCCUCCUAGAAGGACGACCUCAGACAGCUCUUCGUGGAGGCAUGAUCUGAAAGAUACACACAAGCACAAGUUAGAAAGUAACUUUUAUAGAGAUAAACUCUAUCGCACGAAAUGAGUAUGAAAGAAGUGAGAUAGUUCCUAAAUGUUGCAGCCUCCUAAUUAUAGAUGUGGCUCACUUCACACCGAUAACUAGGACUCUAUAGACACGACUUCAUAGACUCUCUAGGACUCUUGAACUCUGGGCUCUCAUACCAAGUUUGUCACGCCCUGAGCCUACACCCUAGGCGGGAUUGGCACUCGAGAACCAUUGCUGGCCCCAAGCAAACCCUUGGUCUGGCUUACUACUCAGCAGAAGACUUUACUCAACAAAGAUAAGUUCAUGAAAUAAACUAGAAUGUUAUAAAAGAAAACAUUCAACUAGCCAACAAGGCAAAUCAAGUCUUAUAAUCAACACAACUGAAAUAACAAGACUAAUGAACUAAUAACUAACUGUCUAUGAAGCCUAUAAUAACUUAGAUGGACGUCAGGACAAGACCCACGACAUCCUAAUAAACUAGAAUAAUAAAGCAACUAAAAGGGGAUCCUCCGAAAGCAAGGAGGCUCACCAACAACUCUAAAGCUCAAUUGGAUCAACGUAACGCUGGAUUCUAAUCUUGAUUACCAAUAUCUACAUCAUAAAAUGAUGCAUGCCAAAUGGCAUCAGUACAUUGAAUAUAUAAGCAUGCGAGGGGAAUUCUAAAACAAUACAUAAGCUUGAAUGGAACUAAAGAAACCUACUUUGUCUCAACUCAACUCAACUUAUUUCAAUAUAAAGCAGUAAUAAGAAUGCAGUAUAAAGAAAAGCUUUAAAACAUGUAAAUAACAACUCAGUGUAUUUAGAAAGCACAAUAGUAACUUAAUUUUGUAUAUGAAAAAAUACAAGUUACUAUGUGGGAGAUUCUCUAACCGACAACCAUCACUAUGAGCUAUGUGAUGAUACAACUUCUUGUUGCACGCUGCCAGGGUCGUCCUAUACUUUGCCGAGGUAUAGAACCUACUCACUAAGUGGAUCCACUAGUCUAUGCUAAAAGCAUUAAAAAAUCAUCUAAAAAGUAUUAUCAUUUUCUACCCAUGUUGGCUACACGGUUUAUGGUGACUUUGAAUUAUCUAAACUCAAACUCGUCCCCAAAUCGAUGCUCAAUACUACACCCAAAAUGUAACUAGCUCAUAUGUUUAAAAACAUAACCCUUUCUGUGGUUUGAGAUUAUUACUCAAAAGCUCUCUUGGAAAUUGAUGUUUCCUCUCUUGUUUAAAUGUGAAAACAUUUACUCUUUGGGAAUACUUAAUUCCCAUAUAAUCUUUUGAAGAAAUGAACUUCACUCUUACUCUUACUCAACUCAAUGCUCAAGUCUUUAAAACAAGUUUAAAACAUUUGUAAAAGACUUUUGAAAAGAUUCUAAAAACUCUCUAGACUUGGCUCUUAACUUUCCUUGAAUUUGAAUUUAUGGAUUCAAGGUUAUGAUUAUUGAUGAUUUCUAGACGUUUAGAAGUCGUUUAUAGUAGUUAGAAUUGAUGGGAAGUGAUAGGACACUUUAAGAGAACUUUAACUGGCUAAACGACGAAAAACGGGUGGGAGCAAACGUCCUGGGCACAUUGCUGGCGCGGGGCGUCAUCCCCGAAGUUUUGGGACUCAAUUCUGGCGCACUACUGGUGCGCCGCCCCAGCCCCUCUGGCGCAUCUGUGGUGCGCUGUGCCAACCCCUCCCAGGUGGUUCCGACGAAUUUUUCAACUCAUUUUAUGAUCUUGAUUCGGUUAAAUUUGAUUCUUUUUCUCAAUUUCUCUUUAGAUUCAUAUACCCAAAACAUGUACACAAGAAUCUACUCAAAACAAAUCUAAAAAUUGAUACGAUUAUCUCAAGAAACUCAUUAAUCCCAUCCUAACUCAAGAACGAAAACCAAUUUCAAGAACACAAUUCAAGAUCAUCAAACUUUCAACUUUCUAGAACAAAUUUCGCUGAAAUAAACAUGAUUGGCACGUGAGUGAACGAACCCAACGCUAUGGAAGUCUCACAUACAUCUUAGGGAUUAAACCCUUGCUGAAAUCCGCAACCAAAUCUCAAGAACUCGACGAAAUCUUGACCUUUCUCCUCUCUUCUCCUCUCGAACUCUUUUCUAAAAACCCUAGCGUGAAUUGUAAUUGCGUAAAUUGAACCAAUUAAAUUUAGAACCCUAAUAAAUUACUAAAAAUGAAUUAAAUCUGAUAGAGUAAGGAAAAAACCAAAAUACCCCUCUUAAAUCCGGGUAACUUUCCUUAAAUGGACAGUCCGACUUCAAAUGGGCAUAUCUCCCUCAUACGAGCUCAAAAAUUAGCAAACUCAGCGGCGUUGGAAAGAUAAUUCCAAGACCUUUCAUUUGAUACCUUGUAUCCCACCUAACUUAUUUUGUAAUAAGAGUUAUGGUUUUUUGAAGUUGGCCCAAAACUCAUACUUAGCAUAACUUGCCAAAAUUUCCAAAUUUGAUCUUUCCAAAAAUAGUUUCUUUAGAAUCUAUUCAUUAAAUUCAUUAAAUCAAAUUUAGGUUAUUAUUCUAAUUCUAGUUCUUUCAAAUAGUGAUGUGUUACAAUGAAGGACCAAUUAUUAGGAACUAGGAAGGUGGGAGUAACAAAGAUGAUAUGCAGGUUUUCCAUCUUUUUUUGUCACCUCAACGCUCAAAAUUCAAAACGAAGUGGAUAUGCCACUUUGGUUAAGUUUGUUGAAUCGACUUUUAUUUAAGUAAAUAUUCACUGUUAUUAAACUAACUUCACUAUAUAUUUACAUAAAUGACUACAUACACUCUUGAAAGAAUUUUCCUCUUUCCGUUAAUUGAUUCGGAAUGACAUUGUUCUGAUUCACAAGUACAAAAAAAGAAGUCUGAAAGUGAUUUUGUGAUGACUGAUGAGGCAUUAGAGAGGAAAAAGGCAUGGUAUAUGGGGGUGAUGAUUCAACUUCGCGAAUGGUAUGAAAUUAAGUUAUUUCAUACUGGUUGUGGUAUUGAUCAUUCGUUUGAUGUGGAAGCUAUUGAAGUUCUCAAUGCUCAGAAGAGUGACUUUGAGGUGUAUUGAUGUUAGACUAUAUUCCGUGUUUCUGUGUGAGUUAUCCUUCAUUGUUGUGUGUUUGUAAUAAACAAAUUCCCUUUUUUCGGUUGAUUUCAUUUUAAAUUUCAUCUGUUGGGUAAAAUUUCAGAAUGAAAAAGUCAAUUGUUUUUUAUUUGUUUGUAGCGGUCGUAAGGUAUUAUAGCUCCUAAUUUCUCUCACCCAUUGACCUUUGAUCAUUUUAAUAACCAAUUAUUUUCAUAACGACAAAUAGAAAUGAAAAAUAUGAACAGUAGUAGUAGAAUUAUCAUGCAAGGAAUUGGAAAAAUCCUUAUAACUAUGAUUUGUGAACUCUUUUAGUGUUUGUUUUCUUUACUAAGGGCCUGUUUGGAAAGCCACCUGGAAAUUGGAAUUGGUGUAAUUACUAGGGUAGUAAUUAUCAGCCUAGUAAUUACACAGUCUAGUGAUUACUCUGACCUGUUUGUUUGUCUCAGUGUAAUUUCAUUGUAAUUACACAUGUCCUGUUUGGAUGCCACAAUGUAAUUACACAUGUUCUGUUUGGAUGCACAAUUGCAAUAAUUAAAUUAUAUUAAAUUUUAAAAAUAAAAAUUAAUUAUUUAAAAUUUAUACUAGAUAAGAAACUUUAUAAAUGUAAUUAAAUUAAAUAUUUAAGAUAUAUAUUAUUUUUAGAAAAUAUAUUAAUUAAUAAAAAUAUUUAUUAACUAAUAUUAUGAAUAUUAAUUGAUUUAUAUUUUUUCAAAUUAAUAUAUUUAAAUUGAACUGAUCAUAAAAACUAAAAGUAUGAAGUUUCUACGAACAUCAUGAAAUGCAUGUUUGAUAAAAAGAUUAAUAUAUAAAUAAAAUGUCAUAAAUUAUUAAAAUGUUUGACAAAAAGAUAAUCUAUAAAGUCUAAUUAAAAAAUGACUUGCAAUGUGCAGGGGCGGAUCUACGUGGAAAGGUGGGGGUGCCAUGGCACCCAAUGAUCUCGAAAAAACGUUGUGUGUAUAUAUAUAUAUAUAUAUAAUAAUUAAAUAUAUAUUAACUUUGCCAUCCAAAGAUUGAAAUGCUGAACAGUUCAAUUGGUGAAGGAGGCCGCCUGCCACACAGGCAAUGAGGGUUCAAUCCUCGCUACAAGCACCUAUUAUUUUUGUUUGCUCCUUUUUUCCUUUUUUUUUUUUUUUGUCUUUUUCAUUAAUGUGUAAAGGGCAUUAUUUAUUUUUUCUCCAUUCAUUAUUAUUUAUUUACUAUUCUUUAUUAAUUCAAAUUGACUCCUUUUCACAAUUAAUUUUUAUUUAUUUUUUUACUUUCUCUUUCACUAAUUAUUAAUCUCUUGAUAUAAGUGUUACGUGUUUAUUCUUUAUCAAUUAAUGACUACUGAAUUAUGAAUGUCAAAUAAAUAUUAUUAAGAAUAUAUUUAAAUAGUUAGUUUUUAAAAAAUAUAAGUUUUAAAAAUGAUGAAUAUUAUUAUUAGAUUUUUUUUUUAAUUUAAAGGUUCUUUUGAUCUUCACUGACGUUCUUGCUAAGUAAGAUGACUAGGCCGAAACUAUAUUUUUUAUUUUUUCCCUACUACAUAUCUCCAACAACACAUAAAGUCAAUGAAAUAUGAAUAUAUUAAGUUCAUACUAUUAGAUGGUUUAUACAAGCUCAAAUUUUAAUGUGAAAAAUCUUUUUUUUCCUCAAAGUUUCAGCGAAUAAGACAUCUAAUUCCAAAAAGUAAAUAAAAAUUGAAUUGUUUAGUUAUCUCUAAUCUCAAAAUAUCUAAAAAAAAAUAUAACAUGCAUAUUUGAUCGAUUUGUUUAUAAAAAUAAAAAAAGAUUAAUAAACCGAAUUGUAACCCACAUCGUUCAAGUGGCACCCACGACCUCCAAAUCUUAGAUCCGCCUCUGGCAAUGUGAAUUCAAUAUUACUAAAACAAAUGAAAUUGAAAAUAUAACAUAAAAUUAUAAAAUUCAAAACAAAAAAUUUAACAUAAUACUCCUAUCGCAAAUUUCAACAUAGCAUACAUAAAUAUAAUUUAUUUAUUUUUAAAAAAAAAACGUAAUUCUAUAACAUUACUUAACAAUAAAUUCUAUUUUAAUUUAAAAAAUAGAAUACUAAUAAAAUUAUGCUAAUGAGAAAAUAAGCAUGGAAUAAAGAAAUAGAUAAUACGAAAAAAUUGCAUAGAAUCACGUGAAGUAAGGUUGAGAAUGAGAAAAAAAUGAAAUAUAAUAAUAAAAAAUAAAAAAUAAACUUUUAGAAAUUUUUAGAAUAACAAUAAAAAAAAUGAACUUAAAAUAAUAGAAAUAAAAAAAUUAAAACAAAAAAGUUAAAAUUAAAAUAAAAAGAAGAAAUUUGUAAUUACCAGCAAUUCACAGCCUCUCCAUGUGAAUUGGAGAGUGUAAUUACCCCCUGCCAAUUAUAUUAAUUACCUGUUGACCAAGUAAUUACAUGUCCAACCAAACAUGACAUACAUUGUAAUUACACCAAACCCAAUUACCAGGGUGCCCUUCCAAACAGGCCCUAAAGAAAUUAAGAUGAGAAGCUGAAAUUAGUUUUCUAUUACUGUAUCAAUUCUUAAAUGGAGAAAGUGAAUCAUUUCAGUGUGAGCUGUAACAUAGAUUGAGUGUGGUAUUAGUUGCUAAAUUAACCUUUGGCUUGAUUUAUCUACUCAAUUGAGGAGAAAAGAUGGCAGAGCUUAUUUCAUAACAACAUUUUUAAUACAUUGCACUUUCAGGACAAGUUUGGCACGCAAGACACUUCGAUCUUGGAGCCUUGUAUGAUAGUGAAGGUUAGCGAGAUUUGGGCUGCUGAGGGUCCCACAUUCUUGAAUAUUGCUUUUGAAAAUUUUAUACAUUUCUUUCGGGAUUCUUCUCUGUGAAUAUGUGCAUAUUUAAUGAAAGCUGUAAUUGCUAAAUUCAUUGAGAAGAUUCACUGUAGCAAAGGCAGAACGAGAAUUCUGACUCUUAUGUUUCAUGGUUGGUGAGGAAAUAGAAACCAUGAGAAACGUUGAAGUUAGAUUGUUUAUCUAUUAAUCUAAAUGCGUCAAUUUUCUUCAUUCUUUUUUUCCUUCAAAUAUGACUUGUAUUCCAUUUGGUGAAGAUUCUUGAAUAUUUUGGCAGUAGACGUUUUCGCUUCUAAGCAUGUCCAGAAAAUUUACACAUCAAGCUAUGUUUGAUCAUUUCUUGCUACAUUACAUCUAAUUAAAUUGGAUAUGUAUAUUUGAAUUUUUAUCCAAGAUAAGAUUGCAAGUCGUUUAUUCUAUUUCCUUUUUUGCAAGUGUUCUUCAAGAUUCUCAUCUACAAUGUCGAUUAUAUGAAGACCGAAGCACUAUCGCAUACCUAUUUGUAGACGAGCCUUUUAGAAUAUUACCAAUAACUAUUACAUAUAUAAAAGCUUUAUUUGCCUCGCCAACUAUUUGAUCUACAUGGAAAAGUUCUGGUGUACCAACAAUUUUUUUCUCCAUCGUCAAUUUUUUGGGUUAAAAUUGAUGUUAUUUUCAGGUCAAUGUUGGGCCCGUGCUAAGCACGGGCCUUGCCCUUCUAGUUUAGACUAAUACGAAAUUAAGUGUCUAGUACAGUACUGGUUUGGGCAUUCCCCAAGACUGAAUGUUGGGCCAUAGUGUGGCCAAUAGUAUCAAUAUUACAAACAAAAAUGCUCCUCACAAAAAAAAUUGUUUAUGUGAUCUCUAUUACUUUCAAAAAUUCAUAAUAAAACUACAAGAUAUUGUUGUUUAUGAAGAAUAAUUUAGAUGUGCAAAAUUUGAACUUCAUUUCCUGCUACAAGUCUAAUUGACCUCAACUUCAAAACAUGAUUACUUGUUGACAUUUUGAAUACCAAAAUUUCAGAAAUUUGGGCCUGUUCAUUCCAUUCUAACUACUCUCAUAUAUGUUCUGUUUGAUAUCUAAAUGAUUGUAGGGUAACACGAGCAAAUAAAUAACAAGUAGCACCAGUGGUCUAGUGGUACAAUAUUACCCUGCCACGAUACAGACCUGGGUUCGAUUCCCGGCUGGUGCAUUCUUGGGUUAGCUGUGAAAGUAAGGUAAAAUCUGUGCUCAAUGCGGUGAUUUGGGUCUCUGCACUCAUCCGACUAAACAUGGUGAUAGUUGCACAUCUGAGCUUCCCCUUUUUUCCUUUUAGAUUGUAGUUUGAUAACAUGGUGAUAUUGUUUUAUUACAUGUUUGCAUAUAACCACUUAUUUAGAAAUAUGCAAUCUUCAUGAAUUAGAACAACUGAAGGUGGUAUUGGAUGCCAGAGUAUGUAUCAUAUUUCAAAGGUCUCAAGAACCUUAAGUGGAAGGCGUUGAACUGAUCUUACGUCUCAAAAGCUUCAGAUAUGAUGUUUAGACAAGUAGGUGGCAACAAUCUUCAUGAAUUAGAACAACUGAAGGUGGUGUUGGAUGCCAGAGUAUAUAUCAUAUUUCAAAGGUCUCAAGAACCUUAAGCGGAAGGCGUUAAACUGAUCUUAAUAAAUAAGGCAUCUAAACUAAGAAAUGUGCAAAGAGCUAUCUUUAUAAGGAAUGUACAACUUUAUAACUACAAAUUAAAAGAGCAGAAUCAAACCUUAAACUCAUGAAUUUGUUUCACAGUGCAUAUUAACCUCAUGUCACCAAGCAUGAGAAGGACUAACCCUAUGCCUGUCAUCAUCUGUCAAUGCAGGUUGAAGCUUAUAACCUUUUCUUUCGGGUAUGCUUGCUCCAAGAACAACUUCCUUAAUGAAUUGAGUUCUCCAACGACAUCACUGAUCCGCUUUCUUUCUUUUGGAGAUUCAACGGAGCAGGAAACUCCGAUUUGAAUCACCUUAACUAAGAAUGACAGAAAUAUGUCACCAGCACUGCUUGUAUUGUCAUCAACUUUGUAUUUCAUUCCAAGUUCAUCUCUUUCCUGGAGAAGAAUGGGAUCUGCAAUAUGCAUCACUCUGUCUGGCAAAGCAGCAUUGGCAUAGUUAUGAAGGUUUAAAUUGUCUUUGAACAUUUCAUCAGUUGGUUUCCUCCCGGUAAACAUUUCCAAGAGCAGAAUGCCAAAGCUGUAUACAUCUCCAUAGAUUGAGGCGUCGCUUCCCAUACCUAAUUCUGUCAACAAGAAAUACUACAGAAUUAGAGAUAUUCUUAUCAAAAGACAUACAUAUGACAGCCAGCAGAAACCUUGAUUUAUUAUUACCUGGAGGUGUAUAACCAAUAGUUCCCCCUACACCUGUAGAGCUUUUUGAAUUUGCUGAUGAGUUUGGAAUUGCUGGUGGAACAAAUCUUGCCAAACCAAAAUCACCAACAUGUGCAGUCAUGUUCUCAUCGAGAAGAAUAUUGCUUGGCUUCAGAUCACGGUGAAUUAUUGGGGGUUGGCAAUCAUUAUGGAGAUAAUCCAGAGCACAGGCAACAUCAAUGGCAAUGUUUAAUCUUUGAAUAAACCGGAGCUUCUUGUGCUCUUCCUGUGACUCAGAUUUCUCCUGAGUAGUGAAAUGUAACCAGUCCUGUAGACUUCCCUUAUCCAUGUAUUCAUAAACUAUGGCCUUGAACUCAUUACCUUCAUAAUCAAUACCUGAGCAUGCACUUAGAACCUUUACAAGAUUACGAUGUCUAAUGUUCUUUAGAACCUCACAUUCAGCUAAAAAACUCCUGGAAGCUGCAUGGUGUGAAAGGUCCAGUACCUUAACAGCAAAAAACGUACCAUCGUGUUCAGAAAUUCCUUUAUAUACAGACCCAAAAGCACCCACUCCAAGCAAAUUUGAUGCAGAAAAUCUAUCAGUUUCCCUAAGUAGACACCGAUAAGAUACUCUUAAGGUUGAGUUUUCAGGUAUAUCUGUAGGUGUUGGUUUUCUCGAUCUACUAAACUGUCGUAUGCCAAGAAAACAAACUAUGAAUGUCAAUCCUAUAAGCCCACUAACUACAGGAAUUACUAUUUUCAAGGGAAAACCUGAUUUCCUUUCUUUCUUUACCUCUACAAUGCAAGCCGGAAGGUCCAACUCUGGUACACCCCCACAGAGAUUUCUAUUUCCUAUGAUGGAAACCACAGUAGCAUUACUAAAGAUGCCUCCUGUUGGGACAGCACCUUCCAAAGUAUUGCUAGACAGAUUUAAAAUCUGCAGAAAUUUAAAGUCCUUCAGGAAUCCCGGGAUUCCACCUGACAGAUUGUUGUGAGAAAAGGACUAAAAGUUCCAGGCCUCGCAAACUAUUCAUGGUUGAAGGAAUACUACCCUGAAAGUUGUUGUUGUUCAAGUCUAGUGCUUCAAGUUUCACACAAGUACCUAUACUGGUAGGAAUCUGGCCCUGCAACUUGUUAUCAGACAGGUUUAAGUAGCCUAGAUUUCUCAACUUCCCAAUUUCCAUCGGAAGGAACCCAGUUAAUUGGUUCUGAGAUAGGUCCACGCCCUCCGACAAGGAUGAGAGUUCAAGAAUUUCUGAUGGUAUGAACCCACUAAGGUUAUUUGAACCAAGAUCCAACAGUUCCAAAUUGUGGCAUUUGCCUAAACUGGAAGGAACUCUCCCCUGGAGAUUGUUUUCUCUUAAAUUGAGUUUGGUUAAAGAAGCUAAAUUUCCCAAUGAGAUUGGAAUUUUGCCAGAGAACUGAUUUCCAAGUAAAGCCAGCUCUUGCAAAUAUAUCAGAUCACCAAUUUCAGACGGAAUUUCACCGUGAAAUCUGUUGUAAGCUACAAAGAAAGCCUGAAGCUUCUUGAGAUUGGAUAUCCCUCUUGGGAUUUCUCCAGAAAUCUGAUUAUAAGACAGCGAAAGCUCUAUAAUCUCAGUCGAAAGAUUACUAACAGAUGCAGGUAAGACUCCACCAAAAUUAUUUGUAUUGAGCUCCAAAAGCUCCAAGCUGGUGGCAUUCACCAAUGUGGUGAGAAAGCUAAGGUCAUCAUCCUCCCCCUUCCCAAGAUAAUUGAAAGCAACUAAAAAUCUCCGCAUUUUCAGCAAAUUUCCAAGGGGUGGUACUUUUCCUGUGAGUCCAUUUCUACUAGCAAUAAGAGACUGAAGAUUCGUAGCAUUUGACAAUGUUACCGGAAUAUUUCCAGUUACAUUGUUUCUAUAAAUGCUAAGGAACUCUAAACUAGGAAGAGUAAUACCAAGCAAUGGAGGCAAUUUUCCUUCUAAAUGGUUUGUUCCAACAUCUAUGGCCACGAUAGAGGAAAGAUUGAAAAGACAAGGAGGCAGGGUACCACUCAAGUUGUUCUCAUUCACUACAAAGUACUUUAAGUUGAGCAAUUGACAUAAUUCAUCAGGUAUUUUCCCUAACAAAUUAUUCUUGCUUGCGGAAAAGGUAUCAAGUAAAGAAAGAUUACCAAAUGAAGGCGGAAUUCCUCCUGUAAAAUAGUUAGAAACAAGAGAAAGUUGUUUGAGUUUCAACAAUGUGCCUAAUUCUGCUGGAAUUUUGCCUACCAUCAUAUUAUACGAAAGACCAACAGAAACGAGAUUGAAGCAACCAGAAAUGUUUGAAGGAAUAUGACCAGUGAAUGAGUUAUUAUCAAGGCGUAAAACGUGUAACUUAUGUAAGUAGCCAAUCUCUGAUGGGAUUUCACCUGAAAAACUAUUAUUUUGGAGCUUAAGGAUAUAAAGAAAGCUCAGAUUACCAAUGCUUGGUGACAGAGAACCCCUCAAUUUCAGAGAAGUAAGAUUUAAAACUGUAACUCGGCGAUGACGGUGACCACAUGAGACCCCAGGCCAGUCACAGAAAUGUAUAGCUUCAUUCCAGGAGUCCAUGAUCUUGAAAGGGUCAUCAAUGAUCAUAUUCUUGAAUGCUAGCAGUGACAUUCUGUCUGUUUCAUUCCCUCCCAACUGAUUUUUUGAUGAACAGAGAACAAAGGGUAGUAGCAAAGAGAAAAAGGUCAGUAAAGAUAGUACAACAGUAUACUUCUUCAUAGCAUAAAAGUGAGAAUUCUGUGUACGAGUUGGGAGAAUCAUUUAAGAAAGUAAGAAGACAAAAGUAAAAUUGGUAGCAAAAGACACUGGUCUAAAACUAUUAAAUUUGUUCUCCAAUUUUAAUUGCUUAUAUGAUUUUUCAUGAUAUUGACAAGUUGGGUAUUUUAAGGUAGACUAGAAAAUAUAGAAAGGGACAUAAAGAUUCACGUGUACAAUAAAAUUGGACAUAAACUUAGACCAGUAGGCUGAGUUAUGACUUGCUGGUAAAUUAUUGGAUAUUAAAGUUUUUUGUUUCUCUAACCUCUGCCAGACUGUCCUGAUAAAUUCCCUAUUGCAUACUAUUUUGUUCCAUUCUUUGACGCUAAAGUGAAAAAUGUAAAGUAUUUCGAGAAGUGAAUUUUUUUUUUUCAUUUUCUGAGUGACAUUAGUUGUGUAAGUCUUCUUUUUGUCGAUGUAGUAAAGUUGUUCUUAUUUAGUUAGGUAAGAUGGGUAACAUUAGUCUAACGUUCGUAGCAACAUGUAGAAAAUCUUGUAGUAUAAUAUACUGAGAGAUGUCGGAGCAAUUAGUCAAUUAUGAAGUCAAUUCAGUGCGGUUUAUUCUUCUACAUGACUUUAAAGAGUUUGCAUAAUUUGUGGUCAUUCAACUCCUCUAGUGCUUAAAAUUGAAUUGUCCUCUUCAGGUAAACUUCCUGGAAAUUAGGUUUCCAGAUUUAUUUUUUAUUUUUUUGCAAAAGGGUUAGGUUAAAAGUUUGGUAACAAAGACCCAAUUAAGAUAAAUAAGGAAAAAGGACUGGGAAUUCAAUGGAGAUGUCAUGUGUCAUUUCCAUAAAUAAGCGGACAAGAAAUUUAAUGUAACUACUAUGAAUAAAUGCUUUUUUUCUCAAAAGGGAUUCUAUGAGUUUUGAAGUUUGGUCAAACUUUUUCUAUUUAAAUAAAAUAUCCCAAAGUUUGGCGAAAUAAAAAGAGAUUCGUCAAUUAGCAUAUCAACUGUUUGAGCCCCAAAAAGAAGAGUCUUAUUUUGAAUAGCUCAAAGACGAUAUUAUUUUUUUUGUUUCAGAGCAACAGUUAGUAACAAGGUAUGUUUGAACUCUUUUACUAGUUGGAGAGCAUAUUUGAUCCAAAAACCUAAUAACGAGAGCAUUUUUGCCAAAAAAGUAAUGGAGAGUAAAAGUGACUCAUUUUGAAUAGUCCUAAAGGUAUAUUACGGUGCAAUUAAAUUGGAAUAUCAUUGCAAUUUAAAAAUUCGCAAGUGAGAGUUUACUCUUAUCACUCCAUUCUUCUUGUGGUGUUUUGUCUUUGUAGGGCUAAUUAUUAGACAAGUACAAUCAACGACCUGAGCAAAUGAUAAAUCAAAUGGUCGACAAGUCUUCAAUGUGAACUCUUUGACCAUUUUCCCUUCUAGAACAACUUCGGAAUUUCAAGAUGAUUUAAAUUAAAUGUUCUCUUUUUUCUUAUAUAUUUAUUAAAUAAUAUAUGAGAAAAACCAUCAACAAUAAAGAGCAUAAAAUGAUUGAAUUUUCCUUAACACGAGUGGUUGUGUUGUUCUAUUGGAACUACACUAGUUGAUAAUUCAUCAAAGCACUACUUGAUUUGCUAAUGGUAUAAUUUAUGUCUAAUGUAUUUGAGCUUUAGACAUCGCGGUUGAAAUCUACUAUCUUUGUUCAGCAUCCAUGUCAAAAACAAGUUCACUGCAUCUGGUAAUUCCAUUGCAUCUCACUGCCUAAUAUGACCUGAAGGAACAACAGAUCGACAUUUCGACAUAUGAAUUAUCUGUUAGAAAAGUAAAUUAAAUGUUCUAAGAAAGCAAGAUGUUUAGACAUACUAAUCUCAUAUAUGUCACAUUUCUCAUGAACAAAAACGAGGCAUUGGCAUUAACAGGACUAAUAAUACAAUGAUUCAAAAUACAGCUAGACAGUGCAUCAAUCUUUACAUAGUCAGGUGAAUCAAAUCAGUCAGUUCUUCCAAGGAAACAAUCAUAUUCAGGUGUCAGACCUCUAAAACUGGCACCGAUCCAAAACAUAGAAAGCAUCAUGCAGCAUGAAAGCCAAUCAUCACCUCCCACGCACACUGGCAGGUGAUCGAGCACCUUUAUCACUGCUAAUGUCUUCAUCAAUUUCACUUCCAUCAACCCACACAACGUUGUUGCUUACACUCACCUCAGAACUAGCAUUACUGCUAGUGGCUAGUGGGGAGUCAGGCAUGUUAAUUGACCUGCUUGUCCUGCCUCUAGUAGGCGGCCCUGAUCUCACACUGUACAUAGAGGAUGCUGGAAUAUUAGUCAUCAAGGGACGCAGAUUACCCGAGACUCUCUGCCUUAUAUCCUGUCCAAGAACAAUGUCUCAAAGUUAAGCAAAUCCAAAAAGGAUAAGAGAACAAGAAGGCCAACAAGACAGAUCAUCUAAAAAAAACAACACAAAUAUUGCUACUCUAAUCAGUUUUUGAAAAUAUACUUAUGUCUUCAGUCUAUGGUAGAGCACAAUAUUCUAUUAGCAUAGGAAUGUGAAAAGAAUGUAUAUACCAUAUGUCUAAUAGCCAUAUCCACCUGAAGAAGAUGGUCCUCGAAGACUAGAACUUGAAGUGUUUGAUCCAGGAGAGGAAGCUAGCUAUCUAGAUGCAAGUUGCUUCUUGAGGUGGCCUCUGGGAGAGAAUUUGUUAACUGCAUCAAAGGUAGCAAAUUACAGAUAAAAAUCCAUGGUUCCCAAGAAAAAUCAAUUUUCAGAACAUGGUUUGAAAGAAAUGCAAGAGUAAAAUGCUAUUAUGAAAAUAUUGAAAAAAGAAAAAUAUUGACAGUAAAAUUAUUAGAGAUAACAAAAGUAAAAGAAACAACACAUUUGAAGCUGGCUCAACAGAUGAAGACCUGACACUAGCUGCUCCAGGUCUGCCCCUUGUAGCUGAAAUUGGCCUGUCAGGUAGUGAUGUCCUUAAAUUGGGUGGAGCAUCAAGGGAGAACCCUGGUAUAUCUGAAGGCUUCCAUGGUCUGGGUUUUACAGUUGGAGAACUAGCACGUGAGGCUGCAGGGUUUCGUGAUGCCAUUGUAGCUGACCGGGUACCCGAAGGGAAAGACACAGGUUUAACUGGAGGAACAGUUGUAUUUGUUGUACCUGACACUGAAGUUGCUCGACGAGUUGGAGUUGCUGCCCUUGAUGUGGACUUUGAUCCAGUAACAGAGGCCCUGCUUGUUGGUGUUGAGGACCGUGCACUGGACCUUGCAGUAGGUGUUGAAGAUCUUGGAGGAACAGUGGGUUUUGAAGCAGGCAUGGUGGCCCGAGAAGUAGGUGUGGCAGACCUUGAUGAUCUACAUGCUGUCGCGGUUGACAUUGAUCUAGAGGUUGCAGUGGAUGUCAUUGCUUUGGUUGCUGUAGCAGAUGUGGAUCUAGAUGCCGAGGUCGAAGUGGAUCUAGAUGAGCUCAAUGUCGGUCUACCAGUAGGAGUUGAAGGUCUUGAUCCACCUGAAGAAGAUGGUCUUCGAAGACUAGAACUUGAAGUGUUUAAUCCAGGAGAGGAAGCUGGCUGUCUAGAUGCUAAGUUGCUUCUUGAGGUGGCCUCUGGGAGAGAAUUUGUUAACUGCAUCAAAGGUAGCAAAUUACAGAUAAAAACCCAUGGUUCCCAAGAAAAUAACUCAAAACUCUGAUGCACACUUCAGGUUAAGACUGCCAGGCAAGCUUCACUAUUUGCACUUCACAUAUUUAUCUACUCACAGUAAUAGGCAAAGUUCUGCAUUGUCUUAAAGUAAAUUGGUGUCUAGACAUAUUUAACUAUGCUUUCUCUAAUCUUUCUUUAGUGUACUUACAAACAACAGCAUACCCGAUAUAGACCCACGAGUGGGAUUUGGGAAGGGUGGGGUGUACACAGACCUUACCCUUAUUUCUGACGGGUAGAGAGGUUCGAAAGACCUCCGGCUCAAGAAAAUAGAUUUUCAGAACAUGGUUUGAAAGAAAUGCAAGAGUAAAACGCUAUUAUGAGAACAUUGAAAAAAGACAAAUAUUGACAGUAAAAAUAUUAGAGAUAUCCUAAGUAAAAGAAAUAACAAUAGAAAUAAAAUAGAAGAACAAAGUAAUGCUAGCAAAAUAAUACACCCUUUGUCCCAAUUUAUGUGACACUAUACUUUUCAGUGUGUCCUCAAAAGAAUGUCACUUUUCUAUAAUAAGAAAUAACAACUUUAAAAUUUCCCUUUUACCCCUAAUGAAUUAAUUUACCGCCACACAGAUAUCUAAGAUUUGUUUUAAACCACAAGUUUCAAAAGUCGUUCUUUUUUUCUUUGUUUUAUGGCACCUGGGCCUAUCUCAACCCCAAAAGCUAGCUCAAGAAGGGAGGACUGCCCAAGUCCAUAUAAGGAGACCACCAGUCCAUUGUCCAACCAAUGUGGAACUUUUACCCACUCUAACAUUCUAAAACUUUCUGUCAAAUUGAGACAGUGAGAUAAUACUGGUAAGGAAACAAACAGAUACUCUAGAUUAGAAUCCUGCUCUACCACGAGGAAAAGAGAAAAUGUUCAACUACCUACUAAUCGUCUACCCUGAUACUCGACCUCUAUGCUCUCCUAUUUAAAGUCAUGUCCGUAUUGAGUUGAAGAUGUUUCAUAUCUUGUCUAAUCACAUCUCCCCAAUUCUUCCUUGAUCUACCUCUACCUUUCCUCAAACCUAUCAUUGCCAGCCCUCUCACACCUCUUCACUAGGGCAUUUGUGUUCCUCCUCUUCGAAUGCUUGAACCAUCUUGGCCUUGUUUCUCGCAUCUUGUCCACCAUUGAGGCUACUCCCACCUGGCAUCAUAUAUCUUCGUUUCUAAUCUUGUCUCUUCUAAUGUGCCCACACAGCCAUUUAAGCAUCCUCAUUUAUGUUACCUUCAUCUUUUGAGGCUACUCCCACCUGGCCUCAUAUAUCUUCAUUUCUAAUCUUGUCUUUUCUAAUGUGCUCACACAUCCAUCUAAGCAUCCUCAUUUAUGUUACCUUCAUCUUCUGAGGGUGCAAGUUCUUGAUUGACCAACACUUCAACCCAUACAGCAUAGUUGGUUUAACAACCGCUCGAUGGAACUUACCUUUCUUAAUCUUUCUUUUACUUAGGUCAAUGUAAAUUAUGGGUUUCAAAUAAAAGCAAGUUACAUGUAAAAGCAAGUUACAAGUUGGUGUUUUUGGUCAUAUGAACUUCUAAAUUGUGACAUGUUGUUAAUCUUACAAAACUUUGUCUAUUGGUGUUUUUCCUCAUUGUUUCCGUCUAUUAUUGUCCAAGAACAACCAAGUUAUAAAUGACUGCAUAAAACCAAGAAAAACACCUAAUAUGCAUAAUUGUAGAAGAUUCUCUUCAAGAUUAAACAAUUCCAUCAAAUUGGAUAAUGAUUAAAUGUGUGAUACAUUUAGUAAUACUUGGAAUAUCAAUAAAUCUGAUUAUUAUAAUUACUCAGGAGAAUCUUUAAGAAAAAACCAACUCACACUGAUCACAGACACCCCAUCAUAAGAGCAUGUGCUUGUUAAUGCAUCCUUACUAGGAUAAAGAAACCAUAGCCCUAAAAUAUUCGUAGGAGUUUAAGUUUUCCAAAUGGUUGAUAUCUAAGAGAUUGGGUACUCGUAAUAUCCCACAAGAAGCAUCACAAAAGAAAUGUAUGGCAUACUUUUUCUUUCUGAUGACCGUAUGCAUCUACAGUCAACCAUUAGGACCAACUGCAGCAUUCGAAGUUCGGGAUAAUGGGCCCACACCUCUACUACUCUCCAAUUAAAUGUGAGGCUUAGUUCACAUGAUGUAGAGUUCGAACCUAGACCUAGGUCACAAGUUCCUCGGCCUUUGUCACCUGAACUAAGCCUGGGGGCAGAUGUACAUCAUACAGCUACAUUCAAAAACUAAAAUAACCCUCAAAUUCAGCAGAGGGCUUCUGCGAAUAGCAUUUGACUAUACAAUGGAGCCACCAUGUGCACGCAUUCUGAACUAAAGAACCUGUCAGGGUCUUCCUGUUUAAUUAUAGAAAUUUCCUUUUAGGUUCCGUGAAAUCUCCACAUCCCUCUAGUGGCUGGAUAUUGGUCCAAAGGGCGGGUCACAAGAAUUUCUCGGUUAUCAAAGAAAAAAAAUUACUUUCAGAUUACAGAGAUGGUCAACAUUUCCCGUGUUAAACAUAACAAAAGUGAAAAUAUGCUAAUUUCCAAUUACACAUAAUGCAUUUCAGCAAAGAAAUAAUGUAACAGUAGAAUAUACAUAUUCUUACUCUAGAUGUCAAUGCAGUGGGGUGAGCUCUAGAAGUUCCCAGCUGACUCAUCAUAGUUUUGCGUGAUUCCAUCUCUAGAGAAGGAAAAAGAGGAGUGCCUGGAGGUGUUAGAAGCCUGAAACAGGAAAAUAACAUCUCAUAAUAAAGCAUACAGAAGUGCAGAUAGGAUUUUAAAACAAUGUCUGGGAAAUCUGAUUCAUGAAUCAACAAAAUAAUUCAACAUCAGAGGUGCAGAGAAGCUCUUUUUUGUUCUUCUUUUCAACUUUAUAGAAAGGGGGUGCACCACCCUACUCCCUUUAUUUAUUUGAGUGCUAGAUUUUGAUAUAUGGCAGCCAUUAAUUUUUGUACUUGAAUUGUGCAGUAAACAAAUACAUCUACAAACUAUACGUGUUUUUCUCACUGUUUAUGAUAUUUGAAUAAAAACUUGCUUUCAACAUCCUAAUAUUUUAUCACUUCAAAUUUGCAUCCUCAACACUCUUAGCUAUCCUCCCUUGUAACAUCAAGAAAUUAAAUUCAGCUAGCAUGUGUUAAGAUAACUACCUGGAGAAGUAUGACAUCAAAGUUUAAGAUGCACAUAUAAAUUGUAUUUGGAGGCUUGAGUGUCACAUGUCAAACACCUAGACUUCAACAUUUAAAGAGUUCAGUAGACUUGGACACCUGUAUCGGUCUACUAGACACAAGUAAGGCACUAUCUCAUAAUUUUCUGCCUCUCCUCAGGGUGCAUAACAACAAUUUUAAAAGGAUUUUAUUAAGUCUCUUAUGAUAAAUGAAACGUAUGACCUACCAAAUCUUC